rnacentral:lncRNA from 1 species
CCGUGCGUGCCUUGAAGAUAUGAUGUUAAUCAUGGGAUGUUGGUUAUAAUUCUUCAAUCCUAAUAACUUGUUUAGUGGAGUAGUUCUCACUAGUAUUAAAUGGUGAGUAGAAAUAGAAUAUGUCGAAUAAAGAGUUAAGACUAAUUGACAAGUGGAAUCUUGUGUAGAAAUAAGAAUUCACCUAGUGCGUAUGUUUGGCUUGAAUAAAGGGAUUAACUAAGGAAUAUUUCCUAGUUAAAUGAGUUGUGUAUUAACUAGUUGGCUCCUAAGUGACUAUUUUACUUGAUGACUAGAAGUCUAGAAUGCUAGAAAAUGGACCUUGUUAGUUGAAAUGUCAUAACUAGCAAUUGUGGUUAUUAUGUCAUCAAUGGUGAUAAUAGGCUAGCAUUGGUGAUAAUUAAUGGUAUUGAUGACUAAAGUAUAAUGUUAUUGGGUUGUUAAAUGAGAAUUUGUAGAUUAUGAUGCUAGAUAGUAAGAGGCGUUGGUUGAUAGAUAGAUAUGUGCAUUUGAUUAUAUGUAACAUUUUUCCUAUAUAAUGACUAGUGCGCCUAUGAUAACUAGAAAUAAGCUUUGGUCUAAUGGCAUCUAUGGAUUAGUAGUGCAUCUUGACUAGGUGUGGAUAUUGGCUAUUUAGUGAAUAAAAGUUAGUGCUAACUCAUGGUUGAGGUUUAUGUAAAAAAUCAGUUAGGCUAUAAUUAGAGAUCCUAUAAGUACUAGUAAAUUAGUAGCCUAAUAAUAAUAAGUUUUGGUUAUUAGAUAAUGACUAGAUAGAGUGUAUUGAUAUCAUAGAUAUCUAAAUGGCUAUAUGACUAUGGUUAUGAUUACCUUGGUACGUGUUAUUUCAAUUGUGGUAAUUGAUGACGAUUAUGGAUCUUGGUAAAUGAUCGUUGAUGGGUAUUGUGUAAAUCGUGGAAUAAUGAGAAGUUGAUUAUAUGUCUAUAUACAUUGAUGAUUUGAUCUAUUGAUGCACUCUCCGAUUGUGUGGAACGUCAUGAUAAGUUCUCUACUUUAUGUUUUUUUGGGUGAACUACCCGGUGGUAUGGGACACCGUGGUGAGUUCUUUUACUUUAUGCUCUAACGGAUGUAUUUGUGUUGAACUUGGUAUUUAUACGAUUGUAAUUGUAUAUAUAUCGCUUUACGUUUUUGAAUCGACUACUCAUUUUAUAUGAUGGUAUUGGUACGUAAUGAUAUGAGAUGUUGUAUUAUUGUUCUAGUUGGUUAGUUAUUUUGUACAGUGAUGAUGAAGAUGGUUCAGGUUCGAUUUUGUACCUUGACUUAGAGAUAUUAUCUUGCUUUAUAUCAUCUUUCUAUCAUAAUUUAGCUCAGUCGGCGGAUGAUGCCUACUGAGUAUCCGUUCUUUUGGUACUCAUACUACACUUCUAUACCUUUUUGGUGCAGACCCGAGUACUAGUUGUCGCUGCUAAGUUGAGACCGUACAAUGUUGAUCUUCCGGAGACAGAGUGAGCUCUUGGAGUUUUGAGUUGCCUGUUUGCCUCCUAUCUUUAUUCAGUCAUUUGUAUUCAAGACGAAUGUAUAAGACUAUUUUGACUUUAAGUUGUAUUUCCUACUGUCGAACUUAGAUGCUCUUGUAUUAGUAUUACCAGGCCGUGAGAUUAGUAUCCGUAGCUGAUUAUCUAUUGUGGAACAUUGUUGUGUAUGAUUGUGUUCAUCUAUUGUGGCCCUUGUCGGGCGUUUCUACUAAAGUAACCCAUUGUCUUAGCUCUGGGUUAUGGUGUUGGUUUACCUACUGGUGGGUUUUAGUAGGUGCCAUCACGACUCGUGAAUCGAGCCGUGACACAAAAUUAAACAAUAAAAUAUUUAAAUAAGAACCAGAGAAUAAGUUGCAUUUAAACUCCUCCAUAUACUAAUUGUUGCAUAUUAAAUAAAUAUACAUUUCAAUACAUCAAUAUGACUGUCUUGGAUACUGAAGAGUUAUAGUUAAAUAGUUCAACAUUUACAUAUAUGGGAGUACUAUUUACAUUAUAUACUAUUAAUAAAUUACACAAUGACAAAUGCACUUAUAAUUCUGUGAUCAAGUUUUUUUUUUUUGAACAACCUUUGAUCCAAAACACCUGCUCUGCAUAGCAUAAUUGUUUCUCCAAUACAUUUACUCUUUAUCUUUUUCUACAAGGCAAAUUAAAAUCAAGACUUCAAAUGCAUCUAAUAGUUGAAGCAAAGAUAUGCGUUUAACAUUUAAGAGCAAAAAGUUAAAAUGGGAAAGUGAGCGAUCAAAAAUAUUAAUAGAUAGGUAGUGGAGUUCGUGACAGUGCAUAACGAUUGUGUAUUUAGAAACCUUCUUACACUGGCGCUUUGAAUAGCAGUGUCGCCAUCGUUGAUGGAAAAAGCUGAGCUUCAAGGCAGAGGUCACCAGUUCGGAGAGCUUCUGCAGGGUAGAAGUGACAGAUGGUGGUUCUAGAGGUUGUGGCUGACGAUGGGCGAUUUGUAUUGCUAGGAUGACUAAUUUUCGAUAUUUGUGAGUGUCAAAUGAAUUAGUCUUAUUAGAAAAGAAAAUAGGUUUGUUAAUCUUUACUCUUUCAAAAGAAAGUAUAUUAUUUCUUUCUCCGUGUCCGGUAACUCAUUUUCUUCUCUCUCUGCUUAGUACUCUAAUCAAAAGCUUCCAGUAGAUUUAUCGUCGGAUUUUAUCCUUUAAAAGUAUUCGCAAUAGAAGUAAUCAUCAACCUGUUGUGUUUCCUCUUCUUUCUCACUCCUUUCCCAAAAAAUCAAAGCUUGUUAAGGUUAGACAACAAGGGCUUAUAAUAAUGUUCUAAUACAAAAGUCACUCCUACCGUUCUCACACCUCCUGUUCCUUGCACUCAUACAUAUCAUCAUUUUCUGAGUUUUCACCGCCUGAUUAUGUUCGAUAUAUAUAUUCUAUCCCCAAUUCAUUAAAUGCUUUGCCAUUCCUUUUGGCUCUCUCUUCUUGUUAAUUUUCCUCAUAAGUGAUCAAAUUUUGCACUCACCUUAUAUUCUAACUGGACCUUUUUUGGCUCCUCAAUAAAGAAAACCUUCUCAAUGACUAUGAAAAACUAAUAAUCUGGUCCAUAUUAAUAGCCAUGAACAAAUUCAUUAGGGAGUUAAGAUUUACUUUAGUGUUUUCUGUGAGUCAUCCAUGCAACGAAAUAAGCAGUGAAAAAACUAUAAGCUAGACCAUGGUAACAUUACGAACUCUUCAAUGAGAGGGAGAACAUCAAAGAGGAUUAAAGAAAAUUGUCUUAUCAAGAACAUCAUAAGAACAAGACAAGCUUGGUAAAUACAGUGUAACAAAUCUGUUGUGAUAUAUUUGAACACGCAUCUUAUCCAUACUACAAAGCUAUGAACUGAAUUGAAUAGCGCAAUUAUUUUGUAGUAGUACCAUAUGGAUUUCAGAAUUAUGAAGUUCUAAAUAAUAACUUGAAAUUUCUGAAGUGAAAGUGUGUGUAAAUAAAUAAUGUGAACUGGCAAGCCUAUUUGUUAAUGAUGUGAAAAGUUUCAAUAAACCACAAAAAGUGAAGUUAAAAGCCAAGAAAUAGGCAAUUAGUUAGAGCUAAAAUAGUUGAUUCCUAUGUCAUGUGUAUCACUAAUACCAUGUGUCACUUAAAUAAGAAACUAUAAUAUGUAGAGGGGCUUUACGAUAUAGCCGGAUUUUAUUUUUAGACCUAACAGAAUGCCAUAAUUUGAAGGGGAAAACUACUUGUUCAUAUUCUUCCCUUUUAAAGAAAAAUAAGUAGAAGCAUCAGAUAACGUGCAAUAUUCCCAUUAAAUUCUAAAAGCAGCUGAACUUUUAAAUAACAAGAAUAACAGAGCCUUCAUUAAAUCAGAAUUAAAUAAAAAGCAGAAAACAUAUUGCAUACAACUCUAAAUAAAAGAUAAUAACGAAAGGAAGAUAUGGAUAUCAGAUGUAUCGCAUUGGAUCACAUAAAACUUUGAUUUUUACACCACUUGCCUUAUCGUAUUUGCAUUAAGAUAUUAAAUGUAACAUUUGUAAAAUCUUUCCGACUCAUACAUAAUAUAGUAAUUCUUCAUGAAUAAUUCGUUCAAAAAUAACAUCAUUAGCAAUAUCUACGUAUGUAACUAUCUUUUCUUUAAAAACAUUACUUCCUUCAUCCCAAUUUGACAUAUAGUUUGACUGGGCAUGGAGUUUAAGAAAUAUGGUAACAUUUUUUAUAUUUGUGGUCUAAAAUAAGUCAUGAGUGUUUGUGUGGCUACAAAUUAUUUCAUUAAGGGUGAUAAACAGAUAUUAACAUUUCAAAGUUAAUUUGUUACUAAACAUAAACAUGUGUCAUUUUUCUGGGGUAUUGACUUAAAAGAAAAGUAUGUCAUAUAAAUUGAGACAAAGAGAGUAGUUAAUUUCAAACUACCUAAUAAAGAAGUAUGGGUGUUGACUUCACUACAACGAAGAUGUUUAUGGAUCUAUACUCCCAGUAGAAUUUUACUUUUUGAGUUUUGGAAACCUUUAAGCACGCAAUACCUAAUCGUAGACAGAUACAUACAUAUUCGCCUCAUUUUUGCUUUUGGGAGUUAUCAAUCAGUCGUUGUCAUCAAUACUUUAGAAAACUAUAUUAAGAAAACUCUUUAGUUGUGAUAUUCAAACACCCAAAAUAUAGGCAUAAUACAAUUACAUAGAACAAAAAAUUACAGUGCAAGAUGAAAAAGAAGAGAGCAUGAUAUUACCUAAACUUGAUGCGAUCAUUUUUCUAGCGGAGUGACAGAGGAACAUCCUUUUCUGGUAUAUAAAACUAAUAAAAAAACAAUAAAUCAUUCAAACAUUAUGCACAGAGAAUUUGUUCCAAAACAACGAAAUAGGAUGAUAUUGAUCAAAAAAUUAUUCAAUCUUUUAAGUGAUGUUUACUACAAAUUUUAGAUGCAACAAAAAAGUUUGAGAAAAUCUAAAGCAUUUUUACAUAGAUCAUGUGAAAAGGAAUAUUUAUAAAAUACAUUUCACUAUGUGUACGCUCAAUUGUUAAAACUCGACAAUAAUUAUUUCAAAAAAAACUAACAGAUAAAGAACACAAGUUAGCACACAAUUUAAUACUGAAAACAUGGGUCAAAACCUAUUGCACUCAUUCUCAGCUUUCUCUUUGAUGUGCAAUGAGGGUACUCUUAUCCAUUCUAAACUUCAUAUUCGUGUAGGCGAAUUUGUAGUUAAGAAUAUGUUUGCAUGACUUCAUGCUUAUGUGUUCGUUUUUAUAGGCUUCUAAGAGUGAAGUACUAAUUAUUUUCACUGAUGAGUCAUUAUUCAUCAAUUGGAUGAAUUAUAAAUGUCAAUUAUUUUUUUGAAAUUGUGCCUAUAUGUAAUUCUUGGUUGUAUUCAGGAUAUCUGAACACAAAAAGACAUCAUCAAAGUGAAAAUGUGAAAGUAAUGAAAAUUUAUUCAAAAGCAAUUAUCUUACACAAUGACAUAUUACGUAAUAAUAUUGUAUUAAUAAACAAUAAACCUCUCGAGUUGGUGAAUGAUAUGCAAGAUAUAGAAUUCCGUGUAAAAAAGAGAAAACAUAGAAAUUUAUUCAGGCCCGGAGUGGUCCCCCUCCCCGACACCUACGGAGUAGAUAUGAACCGGGUCGUCCCUCCCUUUUAUUAUCAAACACCUUAGCUACGCCAAUGUAAGUAGUUUCCCACGUUCUUUUUUUGUACAAAGAGAGUAAUACAAUAAUACUUAUGUUUAUUUUUUAUUUUCUCUGAACAAAUACAUCUCCCAAAUUUAAAUUAUCACUGAAGAAAAUUUUUGGUAGAACAACAACAACAGCAGGCAUGCCAUUAAACUGAAAAAUCUAAAGAGAAUCGGAAGAAAUUUACCGAUACCAUUUGUAGGGGGUGCGCGGAUUAUAUAUAUAUUUAAUAGAUUUAUUAGGUUUCUAGUGAAUCUAUUUUUAUUUGUGCGUGGAUAUUUUUUAAAUUUUGUUUCAAUAUCUUUUAAUGAUUUACUUUUUUCAUAAGAUAUAUUCAUUAAUUAUUUUAUCCUGUAGUAAUUGCAGAGUUACAAAUUUCUGUAUAAUAAUUUAUCCUAUCUGUACUAUAAUGUAUAUCUAAUUCUAGAUUUUCAAUGUUAUUUAUUAUCUUGUGUUGUUCUUCUCGUAGUGAGUUUUUUAAAUUAUAUAAACUAUCACAUGUACUUUUAUCUAAAUUUUCUAAGGUUUAUUCUAUCCAUACUAAUUUUUCUUUUAGGUUUUCCAUUAUUUUUCUAAUUCGGUUCCUAUAAUUAAUUUCAUUAUUUAGAUUUUCUUGAUUUUCUCUAGUUUUUCUAAUAUAUUCUAGCAUUUUUUAAUCUGAAUAAUAUCCUUCUGGGUAAAUUUCUUCGUAUAACUGUUCUAGACAAUUUGUAGGUUCAAUUUCAUAGUUUAUUACUUCUUCUAAUAUCAUUUUCUUAAUAUCCAUAAUUUCUAUAUUUUUANNNNNNNNNNNNNNNNNNNNNNNNNNNNNNNNNNNNNNNNNNNNNNNNNNNNNNNNNNNNNNNNNNNNNNNNNNNNNNNNNNNNNNNNNNNNNNNNNNNNNNNNNNNNNNNNNNNNNNNNNNNNNNNNNNNNNNNNNNNNNNNNNNNNNNNNNNNNNNNNNNNNNNNNNNNNNNNNNNNNNNNNNNNNNNNNNNNNNNNNNNNNNNNNNNNNNNNNNNNNNNNNNNNNNNNNNNNNNNNNNNNNNNNNNNNNNNNNNNNNNNNNNNNNNNNNNNNNNNNNNNNNNNNNNNNNNNNNNNNNNNNNNNNNNNNNNNNNNNNNNNNNNNNNNNNNNNNNNNNNNNNNNNNNNNNNNNNNNNNNNNNNNNNNNNNNNNNNNNNNNNNNNNNNNNNNNNNNNNNNNNNNNNNNNNNNNNNNNNNNNNNNNNNNNNNNNNNNNNNGUAUAAUAAUUCUGCUUCUGUACAGUAUCUUGUCUCCGUUGGUUUUUGUCGUAUUUGCUCCAUUAUUGUUCUGUAUCUGCUCCAUUAUUGCUUCUGUAUCUGCUCCAUUAUUGCUCUUUAUCUUAUCCUUCCAGCUGGUAUUUUAUCUUCUUUAUUCUAGGUGUACCUCUGGAAUAAUAUUAUCUUCUCCAUUGCACCUCGAACAUUGGUGGUCUGGAUAUUUAUGUCCGAUUAUCUUACAGUAUCUGGUUAGCAGUCCGUCUGAAAUAAAUCCUUUUCUUAUUGCUCGCGCGGUAGAUUGUUUUUCUGGGUUAAGUAGCGUCAGUAUCCAUUGUCUUACGUCUUCCAUAUCUGCUUGUCUUAGUUCUUUCGAAUUUGAAUAUAUCAUUUGGUGAUCUCUUGAAUAGUAGCUCCAUAUUGGAUUUCCGUUAGCGUAGUUAUUUGCUAGUUCUUGUAUGAUCGUAGCUAGUCCAAUAAGUCUUUUAUUUGCAUAAAAAUCUGGUAUCUCGAUUCUAGGUAUCUCUGGUUGUUGCGAAAUAUCUUCUGGUAUAAUCAUAUCUCUUGUCAGUCCUAUCUUUACAACCUGUAUCACUGGUUUUAUUUCAUCAUAUAAUAUCUCUGCUGGUGCAGUAUAACACUUUAUAUAAAAUAAAUUUCCUUUUUUUAUUCUUUUGUAGGUAGUGAAUAUCUUGUAUAAUUCCUCCAUAGCUGUUAGCUCUUCUCCGUCUUGGGUGUAUAUGGUAUUUAGUAGUCCAUAGUCAAAACAGGUUUUAACUAGGCUUGGGUUAGUUUUGGGUAGUGCUAUCAGUUUAUUGUAUCCUUGUAGUUUUUGGGUUAUAUAAUUGGUAUUUGGUUCUUGGAUAUUUGUAGCUCUGGGGUUAUGGUUUAGAAAGGUUUGGACUCUAUAUAUAUUUUCUAUGUAUUUUUGGGCUGUGUAGUUGUAUAUUUUCUUGUCUUGGUUUAGGCUGUCUCGGUAUGUGUUAACUUGUGGGGGUAUGAAUAAAUGGUCUUUUUGUGCUUUUGGGGUAAAUGGUUUUUCAAAUAUUUUGUUCAUAUUUACAUUCUGGUAUCUUGGUCUAUUAACUCCUUUGCUUGUACCUGCAGAAGUAGAUUGAUAAAUGUUAUGGGUUUUAUGGAGUGUCCCAACGUCUCCUUCUAGCUCUGGAUUUUUAAUGUCUUCCGGUCGACAUAGCUCUGCACACUGCUGAGUUAGCUGAUUUGUAGCUAUAGACUUCAGUUUAUCUUCAUUAGUCUUUAGCUUUUCUAUCUCAUUACCCAUACUGUCCACUUUCAUUGAAAGCGUAGUUAGGGUGUUAAGUAUUUUUUCUAGAGUAUCUUCCUCUACUAUUUCAGUCUGUGUAGCUUUGUCUUGAUAUGUAAUCUGCAAUAACAUUUUUGUUAGUACUGAUCACUUCAAUUGUAAAUGUGAAAUUUAAUAUAUUUAAAACUAGUCUUCGAAUCUCUUUUGUUGUAACUGAAUUUUGUAUUUUCUUUGUUAACCACCAGCGUACCUGUGUAUUAUCUGUUCGUACAAUAAAUUUGUUAUAUACAAUAUAUGGCUCAAAUGCUAAUAAACAUUUAUAUAAUGAACAUAAUUCUUUCCUAUUUAUUUCCCAUUUUAUUUCUGUCUCGUUGAACGUACCUGAGUAGUAUCUACAAUGGUGUUCUAUUUUUUCUGCUUCAUAUCGAUAUUUAAGUACUCCUCCGUAACUAUAUUCACUUGCAUCUGCUUCUACUAUAUAUAUAAAUUUUCUAUUUUCAUCUGGAAAUUGCAAUUUUGGUAAUUCUCUACAAAGUAAUUUUAUUUUUUGAACUUGUUUUUUAUCUUUUUCAUCAUAAUUAUAUUCUAUAUCCUUUUUUAAUUUUUUCUGCAGUGGUUUUAAGGUUUCUGCUAAUUUUGGAAUAUAUUCUCUUACUUGGUUUACUAAUCCUAAAAAUGAUUGUAAUUUCUUUUUUGUAUCUAAUUCUUCUUUCGAAUUUAUUAUUUUUUGUACUAUAUGUUGUUGCAUUUUUACUCCACUUUUAUCUAUUUGUAUUCCUAAAAAUUCUAUCUGGUUUUUCAUAAUUUCAGCUUUCUUUUUGCUUAGACUUAUUCCUGAUUUUUCUAUUAUAUCUGUGAAUUGUUCUAAUAAUUUUAAAUGUUCUUCUUUGGUUUUGGUGUAUAAUAAUAUAUCAUCUAUGUAUACUAUACAAUUAGAUAAUUGUUUAAAAUAAUUAUCCAUAAAAUGUUGAUAUCUACCUGGUGCAUUUUUAUAUCCAAAUGGUAACACGUUCCAUUCAUAAAAUCCUUGUGGUACCGUAAAUGCGGUUAAUUCUUUAGAUUCUUCUUCUAGCUUUAGGUGGUAAAAUCCUGAUUUACAAUCAAAUUUGCUAAAAUAAUUAUAUCCUUGGAUUUGUCUUAUUUUUAAUAUCUUAUUUGGUAUCGGAUAAUUAUAUGUUAUAGUUUUUGCAUUUAAAUUUCUAUAGUCAAUAACCAUCCUACUUUUUCCUCUUUUUUGUUCACUAUGUUUAUUUACUAUAAAUGCUGGACUAUUAUGUUUACUAUUACUUUUUUGUAUAUAUUGUUUUUCUAAUAAUUCAUCUAUGUGCAUUUUAAAUUCUUUUAAAUCAUCAAAAUUAUAUGUUAAUGGUUUUUGUGUUAUUAUGCUAUUCUUAUCUAUUAAUUCAAUUUUUAUAGUAGUUUUGUGUUUUUCCCAUCCUUUUAAUGGAUCUUCACUAUAUAAUUGUUCUAAUUUUUUCUGAAUUAUUUCUAUUUUAUUUAUUGAAAAUAUAGUUAUUUCUGUUUUAUUUAUCGAAAAUACUACUAGUUCUACUGUAUCUUCAGUAUUGUUUAUAUUUUCUAACUUUUGUGUAAUUUUUUCACUUCCUUUUAUCCAAUCAGUUUUCUUUCUUAUUUUAUUAUUAACUCUUUUUGCUCUUACUUUUUGUUUGCAUGGUGUUGUAAACCACCAGUCUGUUUUGGUUAUUAUAUGUGGGUAUAAUUUAUCUAAAAAUGGCAUUCCUAAAAGUAUAUCUUUUGAUGUUAAUUCAUAAUUAUAAAUUUCUUCUAUUGUUAAUAUCUUAUCCCAUACUUGUAUUUUUACAUUCCUAGCUUUAUAAGUAAUUAAGCUUCCUUCAUUAUUAAAUCCUUUAACUAUUAUUGGUGUUUUUAGUUUAUCCCAUUUGCUUUCUGGUAAGCAAUUAUAUCUACAUAAAUUAGCUUCUGCUCCUGUAUCUAUCAUAGGCGUAUAAUAUCUACUGUAAUAUCCUUCUACUACUAUCUUCAUUAAUACAUGUAUCUUCAUUUCAUGUUAAGGCUCUUUUUAAGAAUAACUUUUCUUGGUUAUAUGUUAAGGUUAAUUGUGUAUGUUCUAUAUUAUAUGGUUUUACUUGUUCUAACCAUUUUAUUCCUAAUAUUAUAUCUGCUUUUUGCAUUUCUUCCUUUACUUCGAAUUCUAUUUUUAUUUUUCUAACUCCUAACAUUAUUUCUUUUUCUGCUAUAUUUUUAUUAUUUAUUAAACUUCUUGGUAGAUCUGGGCAUAUAUCAUUGUCAGUUUUUAUUUCUUCAUUUUUUACUAGAUAUUUUGCUAUAUGAUUUUCUUCUUGUCCUGUAUUCAAAAGUAUUAAAUAUUCUUUUUCAUUUAUUUUUCCCGUUAUGUAAUAUUGGUUUAAAUUACUUAUUGAAUUUGUUUCAUAACUUGUUCUUUUUGAUGAGCUUGAUGAUUCUGGCUUUUCAUUAGCUAUUCUUUUCGUUGUACUUAUUCUAUCAUUUACUAUUUCUAAAUUUUCUUCUGUAUCUAUGUCUCUAUAGGUAUAAUCAUUAUAAUCUAUUGUUUUUACUAUUUGUUCGAAUGGGCUUUCUAUUUGUAUUUUGUUAAUCUUAUUUUUUCCUGUUAUUUUAUGUUUUGUUGUUAAUACAUAUAGAUUUUUACAUCUUGCUGUAAAUAUUUUACUUCCUGGGGUUAAUUCUAUUCCUGAUAUUUUCCAAUAUAAUACUAAUGAUUUAUCUAUAUUCCUAUCUGUUACUGCUACUGAAUAAUUUGCACUUAUUAUAAAUUUAAAUUUUUGGUAUAUUAGAUUUCCUUUUACGGCAGUUAUUAUGCUUUUUUCUAUAGGUUUUAUAAUUCUAUCGUCUGCUAAAUAUAAUUCUAUUGGUGUAUCUAUUCCUUCUCUAAAACAUGCUUUUAUUAAUAUCUCUGUACCUCCAAGGUGUACAUAUUUUAUUGGAUCUCCUUUACUUUUUAUAUCAUUUAUUUCUUUAUUAAUUAUUCUUUUUGUUACUAGUGGUAUACUAGCUUUUCCUUUUGCAUAUCUGCAAUCUAUUACAUGUUCUUUUUGGCAUACUACAUAAUAUUCAUCUUUUUUCCUAGUAAAAAUAUUUUUUAUUGUUGGUAUUUUAAAUAUUUUGUCUACACUUAAAUCUAAUUCUUUUCCUUUUAUUUCAUCAAAUAUAUUACUGUCAAAUAUUAUUUUUUGUUCCGUUCCUUCAUCAUUUAAAUAUUCUUCCUUUGUUAUUAUUUUUAUAUCUUCUUCAGUCAUUUGAUUCAUCUAUUUCGCUAUCUAUUUCAUUAUCUGUUUCGUUUUCUGAAAUUUCAUAUAUACUAUCUUCACUUUCUAAUUCAUAAUCUAUAUAAUCUAUCUGCAUGUAUUCGGUAUUUUCUAUUUUUAUUUCUGAUAUUUGUUUAUUUUUUGGAUUUUUAGGUAAUUUACAAUCUCUAGCUAAAUGUCCUAACUUUCCACAAUUAUAACAAGUACAUUCUUUUAUAGAUUUCUUUUUUCUAUAUGGUCUUUUAUGUUUAUAAUUUUUUACAUAGUAUCUUUUUCUUGGUUUUUUAUAUUUAUAUUUUGAUUUUUUAUAUUUCUUAUAUUUCUUAUGUCUUUUUCUUUUCUUAUAAUAUCUUUCUUCGCAUCCAAAUUGGGGUGCUAUUUUAUUUUUGCAACAAGCUAAAUUUCUUAUUAAUGUUUUUUCCAUUUUUAAUUCUUCUCUAUAUUUUUCACAUAAGUUUCUAUACCAUUGUUGUAAAUAUUUUAUUCUUGCUCCUAACGUAUCUACUAUUUUUGCUUCUUCCCAACUUUUUAUUAUUUUCGAACUAAAUGGCUCGGGUAAUUUAUUAAAAUAUAAUUUUCUUAUUUCUUUACUUUCUUCUAUACUAUAUGCUCCUUUGUAAUAAUAUUCUUUAAAUGCGCAAGUAUAUUCAUCUAUAUAACACAUAUUACAUAUUGCUAAUUUUAACAUUAAAUUUCUAUUUGUAUCUUUUUCUUCAUUUUGUUCUUCUUCGAUUGUUGUCGUACUACCAAAUUCAUCUUUUAUAGCUGUUUCAUAUUUUUUUAAUAAUUCUAUAGGUGUUAGUUUAGUUGUUGUCGAUGAUGUUCCUUCUAUAGGUUUAUUAGUUCUUAAUACUUUUUUGCUAUUUUCGGUUAGAUUUGCAAACCAUAGUUUUACUGAUCCUAUUAGUGUUUUUUCUAUAUAUUCCGGUGCAUCUGUUAUAUUUAUAUUAUUAUCUAAUAAUUGUUUUGUCAUAUAUCCUAUCCAUAAUUGUAUUAUUUUUUCUGUAUCUAUUACACAGUCUAGAUCUAAAAAGUUAUAAUUUUUCCAUUUAUCAUAUUCAUUAUAUUUUUUAAACUUAUUCUUAUAAUAUAUGGGUUUUCUUAUUUCUGUUGUUUUAGGUAUUAUAUUUUCAUUUUCUUUUUUAUCAAGAGUAUUUAUUUCUGUGUGGGUAUUUUCUAAGUUUUCCUCAUAAAUUUUUUGUUCUUCAUUGAUUUCUAAACUUUUUGUAUUUGUUAAUAUUUCUGUAUAUGUUUCACUAUCUUCGGACUCAUAAUUAUCUGUCUCUUCAAUAUCUAUAUUAUUUGUUUCUAAUUCUUCGUUUUUUUAUUUCUAAUUUUUUCUUAAAUUGAUUUAUCUCAUUCAAUAAUUUCUGUUCUCUAUCUUUUUCUUCUUUUUUCUUUCUAUUGUUGUUCAUACAACUCUUUUAAUAUUUGUAGUUCUUUUUCUAAUUCAGCAAUUCUACUAUUUUUAGUUUCUUCUAUUUUUCAUAUUUUUUCCGUAAUUUGUUUUUUUAUUUUUUCUAUUUCCUUUUUCCUAUCUAUCUCUUCAUUUUCUUUUUCUAUUCUUACCAUUGCUGUUAAUUUAUUUUCUAAUUUUAAUUCUUCUUUUUCUAACAUUAUUCAUCUAUAUAACACAUAUUACAUAUUGCUAAUUUUAACAUUAAAUUUCUAUUUGUAUCUUUUUCUUCAUUUUGUUCUUCUUCGAUUGUUGUCGUACUACCAAAUUCAUCUUUUAUAGCUGUUUCAUAUUUUUUUAAUAAUUCUAUAGGUGUUAGUUUAGUUGUUGUCGAUGAUGUUCCUUCUAUAGGUUUAUUAGUUCUUAAUACUUUUUUGCUAUUUUCGGUUAGAUUUGCAAACCAUAGUUUUACUGAUCCUAUUAGUGUUUUUUCUAUAUAUUCCGGUGCAUCUGUUAUAUUUAUAUUAUUAUCUAAUAAUUGUUUUGUCAUAUAUCCUAUCCAUAAUUGUAUUGUUUUUUCUGUAUCUAUUACACAGUCUAGAUCUAAAAAGUUAUAAUUUUUAUUCACUAUUUGUUUUGGUAUCCAUUUAUCAUAUUCAUUAUAUUUUUUAAACUUAUUCUUAUAAUAUAUGGGUUUUCUUAUUUCUGUUGUUUUAGGUAUUAUAUUUUCAUUUUCUUUUUUAUCAAGAGUAUUUAUUUCUGUGUGGGUAUUUUCUAAGUUUUCCUCAUUAAUUUUUUGUUCUUCAUUGAUUUCUAAAUUUUUUGUAUUUGUUAAUAUUUCUGUGUAUGUUUCACUAUCUUCGGACUCAUAAUUAUCUGUCUCUUCAAUAUCUAUAUUAUUUAUUUCUAAUUCUUCGUUUUUUAUUUCUAAUUUUUCCUUAAAUUGAUUUAUCUCAUUUAGUAAUUUUUGUUCUCUAUCUUUUUCUUCUUUUUCUUUUUGUCUUUGUUCAUACAGUUCUUUUAACAUUUGUAAUUCUUUUUCUAAUUCAGCAAUUCUACUAUUUUUGGUUUCUUCUAUUUUUCGUAUUUCUUCCGUAGUUUGUUGUUUUAUUUUUUCUAUUUCUUUUUUCCUAUCUAUCUCUUCAUUUUCUUUUUCUAUUCUUACCAUUGCUGUUAAUUUAUCUUCUAAUUUUAAUUCUUCUUUUUCUAACAUUAGAUAUAAAUGUUCACCUAUUUUCUUAUAUCUUCGUCCUAGAUUAGAAAAUACUAUUUUUAUUUUUGAUCCUUCGUAGUUUUCAUAUAUUUUUUUCAUCUAUUAUAAAUUCUUCUUUAUUUAUUUUAUUGUGAAUAGGUCAUAUUGAUAUAUAUAUUCUAAACUAUCUAUUUGUGAUUCCAAUUUUGAUAUUUUAUCUUUUUGUGUAUCUAUUGAAUUUUUACUAACUCCGAUAAAUAUAUUAUAAUGUAAUCUUUUUAUUCUUAUUUUUAAUUCUUUACGUUUUUCAGAGAUAAUUUAUUUUAAUUCUUUGUAUUGUUGUACCUUAUUUAUUUUAAAUUAUAUUUAUAAUAUCUUGAUAAAUAUUUAAAUCUAAUUUUAUAGAUAUUAUAUAAAAAAUAUAAAAGACCAUAAAGAAAGAAGAAAAUCAUAUAGAAACAAAAAAUUUAUAAAAGAAUGUACUAUAGAAAGAAAAAAUUUAUAAAAGAAUGUACUAGGAGAGGUGUAUAGCUUAAAUUUGGAAGAUAAGGAAAAAUCAAAGAUAAGCCCUUGAAAGUAUUGAGAGUAUUCUAAACUUAUGAAAGAAUGGUGUGAUUCUGUCAAUGGAUUCAGAAAGAUGAACAAUUGAUGCUUCUGGAAUUUGAUAUAUUGACUAUUCGUUCUGGAAUAAUAUUCAGUGUGAGCUUUGAGUGGUUGUUCUAUAAUUGAGCAAAAUGACUUUUUUACCUUGAUCAUCCCUAGGAUGACUCCAUCAUUGAAAUCGAAUAGAUCUGCAUUAAUCGAAUUAAGUACUCAUGAAUACAUCCAUAACUUCUUAAAUUUAUCAAUAAAUUUUAAUUGGAUAUUCGAGCUAUGAUUUGUUUCAGUUGAAUAUGAGAUUAAAUAUUUCUACUAGAUAUUUCAACUCAAAAUUAGAAAAUAUAAGAGAACUCAAAGAUGAUUAGGGCAAAAUUGAGAUAAAAGAUGACCUGAAAUUGUAAAGAAGAAAGAAAAUUGGAGGAAAUGUUAAAACAAUAAUCACCUAACGAGAUGGAUGAAACUUUGAAAGAGAAUGAGUAGCAAUUAGCAAAGAAAAAUUAUGAAUAAUUUUUCAUUUGACCAACGAAAUUAUCAGUUUAUCUAAAAUUUAGAAUCGACUGUACCUAAAAUUAAAUCUUUGAAAGAAGACAGAAAAAUAGCGAGCAAAGAGGAAGAAUAUUUGGGGCAAAUAUCAAUUCUUGUGUUGCUUGUUUGGAAUGAGAACGAAGAAUAUGGAUGAUUCUAGAGUUAUAAAGAGUGGAUUUGUUUGUAUAAAUUUACAAUAUUACCCUUGUUCGUCCUUUAGCUCAUUCUUUUAUAUAUACUAGUUUAGUGUACGUGCUUUGCACGUGUAUAUUAUUUCAAACAAUAAAAAAAAGUCAUUAAUGUUAAAAUAAAUGUGAUGCUUUAUUAACGUUAAAAAGUAAAAAUUCUUUUUAUUAAUUGAUACAUGAAAGCAUAUUAUUAUUCAAGCAAUAGAACUUAACUUCAAAAAUAUUAAUUACUAUUAUUAUCAUGCAUCAUAACAAAGAAGAUAAAAAAUAAAAAACUAUAUUUAGAAGUAUACAUAGUCUAUUUUAAUCUUCGUAGACAGAGUUGCCUGAAAUUUGUUGUUGGUGGAGGUGGUAGGUAUCUCCUAGAAUUAGUUAAGGUGUGCGUAAACUGACCCAAACAUCACGAUUAUAAAAAAAAAAAGUAUAUAUAUGCUACAUAACUUUAAAUAACGUAAAACUUUAAUUGAUGAAAAAAUCAUGCUAAUCAAAGAAAAUGAUAGAGAGGAGAUCAGUUAAAAAUAUUAAUGGUGCUCUAAAAUUUAAUCUAGAGUUGCGACUAAUCAAUUUUUUCAUGAUAUUUAGAAUUUUAAAACCAACUAAAUUUGAGUUAUUAAAAUCAUAUGAUUAUGUAAAAACUUUUUAUAUUUAAAGUAUUUGAAAUUUACUACUACAAUAUAUUACUUUGACUUUUUAGGUCUUUUUACUAUAAUAUUUAGAGCCAAACUAACAUUAAAAAAUUUAAAUUUAAUUAUUAAAUUAUAAUUCAUCUAUAAUCUAUAAUAUAUUAAAAGCGUGAAGACCUUUAGAAAAAUGAUCUAGACUUUUUGUCCUUUAUUAAAACACUUUACUUUAGACAAAAUAGUCUUUUCACUUAUUUUAUAUAAUAUUUAUUAUAUUAAUAAUAUCAAAUAUUGAGUAUAAUAAAUAUAUGCGCAAAAAAAUAAAUAGGAUUUUUAGUUGAUAUAUGGAAAGAUUAUAUGGAAUUCGUCUUUUAGUUCGUAUAUGAAAAAAUUAUAGGAAUUCUAUUAUUAAUAAAUUAGGACAACACUUCACACGAUUCUUUUUGCUAUAUAUGGGGUUAAUAACCUGCAAUUGGGUUAAUAACACGUAAUUGGUGUAGCUUACACAUUGUUCUUCUUAUUAUUUUCUGGGUUUAUUAUUUAUUUAAUAGCGAUUAUUUUGCUUUGUAGUAUGUGUUUAUUUUUUCUAAUGUUUGAAGAUCUAAUUUUCUGUGUAUAUAUAUUUUUAUGGUGUAUUUGAAGAUCUAACAUUUUUAUGUAUAUAUUUAAAAAAAAAAUUAUCGAAAAAUUGAACAAACAAGCAUGUUGCAGUCGAAUAAUAAAGCAGACGAAAAAAUCAAAGAAGCAUGGUAGUCAAAAAAUUCAAAGGUUUAUAUUCUCUCUCUCUCUUUACCUCUAUUCAAAUAAAAUUUUUGAAAAAAUGAUCAAACUUUUCGUCUUUCAUUAAAAUAUUAUAAAAUAGACAAAAUCUUCUUUUCACCUUUUAAUAAAUUAUAGUCACCAACAAAUAUUUAAUUAUUUACCUAAAAUUUAGAACUUUUUUACCAUACCUUUUACGUAUAAAUUUUUUAAAAAUUCUUUUUUCUCCAAGGACAACCGUUCACAAUUUUUUUGGUGGCAAAAAAUAAUUGUCUUAUGUCUGAGUUAGAAUACUUUGAUUUUUUUCAGAUUCAUUAUAGCUUUAGAGUUUUCUUUGAAAAAUAGAUUCUUUGUUGAGGUUAGGUUUUUGUUUAGGUUUAAUCGCAAAUGUGUUUGUGAUUUGAGGUAAGUUUUCUAAAAUUUUGGUAUGAUUUUUAUAUUUAUAAAAAUAAAUUGUCAUAUACUUUGAUAGAUAGACGAUUGUUAAUUAAGAAGUUUUCUUUUGUGAUUUAAGUAUGUUCUUGAAGUUUAAAAUAAUAAAUUAUCAUGUAUUUUUGAUAGAUUAUUGGCAAUUGAGAAGUUUUCUGUGAUUUUUAUUUAUAAUAAUUUAUUAAUAUAAUAGAUAUAGGAAUAUCUCUAAAAGAUCAAGUUCAUACCUUAAUCGUAAAAUAUGAUUUAAUUAAUGUAUCUGUUAGAGAAUUAUUUUCAUAAACCUAUUUAUUCACAUAAGUAUGUCAUGAGAACUUGCAAACCCAACAUCAUAUAUUUGUUAAAUCCAAUUCAAUAUCACUUGCUUGAAUCAAAAUAGAAGUGGAUUAAAUGAUAGGGUGCAAUAGCCACUUUUUAAUUGCUGAAUUUUUCUUUACUUUAUUGUAGUUUAGAAUGUGUUUUGAUAGGCGUUUGUCCAUAAAAGUAAAAAAAAAAAACCGGAGUUAAGUUGAAGUUGGAGUUGUAAUUAAAAUUAUAGAUUUAGUUGAGUUUGACUAUGAAUAUAUAUUUUGUAAGAGAAAUGAGAAUGAAAAAAGUGAAUACAAGUUGAGAUUUGUUUCACUUUUUCAAAGUUGUAUUUGGAUUUUGUACAGCCAAACAUCAUUUCUUGAAUAAAGUGAAAAAUAUUUUCGAAAAGAAUUGUUUUCUCAUGGCCAAACUUAGCCUAAGUGUAUUAAUACGAACAUAAUUUUAACUUUUGAUAUUAAUGAAAAAUUUUGUUCAAUACAUUUAAUUUUGCUCCUUAAUUAUUAGUAUGAUAGUUGGUUAUCAUGUUCCUCUUUAAACACACUUUUUAGGUUAAAAAAUUUCCGUUAAUUUUGAUAAAAUUUAAAAUUGUUGAUUUCUCCCUAAAAGAUAAUUUUUCUCUUUGCUGAUUAUCAUAUUUUAUCCAUCAAUAUGAAGAUGCGAAGAAAAUAAUACGAGAUGCCAUACUAUUGAAAUAUAAUAUUAUAUAUAUUAUUUAAAUAGACAUAUGUUUGUUUCAACGCCAGUUGAUACUUUUAAUAUAUAGUUUUAUUGUUUGAUGCAAGACACACAUGCAAUGCACGUACACUAACCUAGUUCAAAAAAAAAUAAGAGGGAGUUGACGCAUAGUCAAGUAUGUAGGCUCAGUGGCGGACCCAACUUUUUUAGGUUGUGGGUGCUCAAAAAAAAAUUUACUAAACAAUGCAGCUACAGGGAUUCGAUCCCAGGAUGGGAGACAUGAAAGUUAUAUCUAAAGCUAAAGCACCCAACCAUGCUUUUGUUCUCUGGGUGCUUUUGUAUAUAUUUUACCAUUUUUUCAUUGUUUCUAAUAUAAUUAUACCUCUUUUAGGUCAAGUUUAGUAGGUGCUCGAGCACCCGAAAAUUGCAUGUCGGUCCGCCCAUGUGUAGGCUGAUGGUUAAAAGUAAACACAAACUAUAAAAAAAAAAUGUAAUGUUCUACUAUUAAAACUGAAAAUUAUAUUUUGAAUUAAAGUCAACAAAUGAAAUGUAAUUCUUAAGUGGGGCUUAGAAGAAUAGAGUAUACGUUGACCUUACUCCUAUCUUGAAAAGGAGAAACAGAAUAAUGUCAAUUCAUUUUUUUAAGUACCAGCAGUCCAAGAAAGUCGCUAAAAUACACAAUGUGCAAGGACUUUUCGAUUCUUGUAGGAUACAAGCACAAAAAAUAAGUUCAACUAAUCCAAUGGAAAAAAACGACAAAAGUAAACUCUGGAACAUAAGUAAACAAACAAUAACCAUUUUAGAUAAAUCCGAGUCUGUCUUUCAUACAUCCAUAACAAUCAAGAAAAAGAUAUUUAGCUAAGUACAUAACGCAUUUCAAGAGAUAAAUUGGACAAUUACAUGACAUAACUAAUCUUCUCAAGACUUGAAAAGAAAAAAGAAAAAAAAAAAAGAAACAUUGACAAACAAAAUUAAGAAUUACCAAAAUAUUUACUUAUUUUUCGUUUAUUUAAGUACAAAUGUCACAAAAGAAUCCAUCGAACAUAUCAUCUAUGAAAACACCUUCAAUUAGGACAAUUCAAAUCUCAUCAUUUUGUAGUAAAUCGACAAAUCAACAUGUUUGAUAAUUGUAUAUGAUCAUCCAAAAGCAUAGAACAAAACAAAAAUAUUAACCAAUUAAAUUCAAAACUCUCAAAUCUUUUUUAAUUCACAAACAAAGAAAAUAAUUAAAACUCCCGAACUCUUGAACACGUACUCGAUUCUUUGUCACUUCGAUUUCCACCACGCAUUCAUAACAACCUAGGAAAAGAUAUCUAGCUAAGCACAUAAAGCAUCUCAAAAUAUCAAAAUAUAAUCUUAUAUUUCGAAUUUAACAAAUAAGUGUAAUUAAAAAUUCAACUAUAAUACUAACAAAUAAUGUGUCAAAAUAUAGUAAAUUAACAUAAUCAAAGCUAAUCAAAAUUAAGUAACAAUUAAAAAACAAAGAGAAAGAGAUAAACCUUUGAUAUUUUGGCUACUUCAUUCGGCAUCAAUAUGCUUAUUUUGUCCAAUUUUUCGAUUCAAAAUUCUAAACUGAAAAAGAAAAAUAUCAAAAAAGGAGAAUUUGCUGUCAAUUAUUGAUUAUAUAUAAUUAAUAUAUAAUAUAUAAAGAUAUUAACUAAAAGAAAUUUAAAAAAAAAAAUUAAAAAGAUGAUGAUGCAAAAAUAUGACUUGAAUCAUCAAAAUCAAAAUAUAAGAAGAAAAAAGUAGAAGUAAAAGAAGUAUACCUUUUCUAGUAAAUUUUAAUUUGAUCCAUCCAAAAAUAUUACUUAAACAGAGUUAGAGAAAUUCUUUUUUAUAUAAAGUAAAAUUUUAAUUAAUUUAGAAGUAUUAAAUAUUAUGAUUUCUUACCUAAACUAAUAACAAAAACUAAAAAAACAUAAAUAAAAUUAAGUGCAACUUUUUUUUUAUCUAAUUUAAAAAGAAUACAUUAGAGCCCUUUAACAUAGAGACAAAAUAUAUCUACACAAUUUCUUACAUGCUCUUUUCUUUAAUAUUUUUCUUUUUUAAUUCUUUUUUUUGGAACAUGAGUUUCUUCUUCUUUUUUUACUUUUCAUGUUUUCUUUCUUUUAUUCCUUUUUUUUUUUUUACGUGAUUAAGUGAUUUGUCAAUUAAGGAAAGUUUAUUAGUUAGAAUUAAAAGGGGAGAAGGACUCUUAAAAUUAAUUGUCAAAUAUUUUUAUAUUUUAUAAUCAAUUAAAAAAAAGUGAAAAGACCGUUUUGUCUAUUGCAGAUUAGUUUAACGAAGGAUAAAAAGUUCAAAUCAUUUUUUUAAAGAGCUUCACACUUUUAAUAUAUCAUAGAUUUAUCAAUUAAGGAAAGUUUAUUAGUUAGAAUUAAAAGAGGAAAAGGACUCUUAAAAUUAAUUGUUUAAAUAUUUUUAUAUUUUAUAAUCAAUUAAAAAAAAGUGAAAAGACCAUUUUGUCUAUUGCAGAUUAUUUUAACGAAGGGCAAAAAGUUUAAAUCACUUUUUUAAGGAGCUAUUAUAUGAAUUGUCAAAAAGUUCAAUUCAGAUUAUUAGAAAUGUGAAUGAAUUGUCAUACAUAUUAAUUCAAAUAUGAAUUAAAAAAGAAAUCUAACAAAAAAGAAAUCGAAAAAAUGAAGGGCUAGUCCAUCCCAACUUGCGAUCCUUAGGUCUGGAUUGGACAUAUAUUUUAGGGCCCUCUAGAGUAAAGGGUCUGCUUAUCCUUCUUUGGCCAAUGAGGCUCGUUUGAGUUAGGUUGGCCCAGUCCAUUUUGAUGAUCUAUUUAUGUUGUAAGCCUUAAAAUCUAUAUUUAUAAUCUAUAUCUAUAUCUAUAAUAUAUUAAAAGUGUGAAGGUUUUUAGAAAAGUGAUUCGAACUUUUUAUCCUUUAUUAAAAGAUUUUGCAAUAGACAAAAUCGUCUUUAGAUUAUUUUUUUCUCAAAUUAUAAAAUUUUAAAUUAAAUAAUAUCUUUUCUAUCAAGGUUUGCUCCAUAAGAAUCCUAUUGCUAAGAAACAAACUUUUACAUCACAAUUAGCCGUCAAUAUAUAGAUCCUAAUAAACUUAAACCUUACUAAAUUAUAAAUUAGGACAAAAUAACUAAGCAAAGCAACUACUCCAAGCCUAAAAAAUAUCAAACUGACAUAUUUAUGUGCAGUUAACUGUAGGCCCUUACAAACCUAAACCCCAGUCCUAAAUUAUAAAUUAGGAAAAAAUUAACCAACUCCGAACCAAAAUAUACCAAAAUAGCAUGUUUAACUAUUUUCUUUUAUUUGGCAUAUUCUAGCAAGAUAAGAAAUUAGAACAUUUAACACUUUUAAAUCAAUUAAAAUUUUACUUUAUAUAAAAAAAAUUAUAUAAUUCUAUUUAUGUACUAACAUCCGCUUCUUCUAUCUCUAAGUUUUUUUUUUUUUUUCUUAUUUUGAUUUUUAUUGAUCUAAGUUAUUUUUCUUGCAUUCAUUAUCAUCAUUUUUUCUAUCUUUUUUUUUAAUUAAAAAAAAAUCUUUUAGCUUGCAGCUUUAAAAAUUAAGUAUAAAUUAACCAACAAUUGAUAAUAAAUUCUUCUUUUCUAAUAAUUUUUUGUGUUUUCACUUUCUGUUGAAAGUUUCUAAUAAUAUACACAUGUUGCUGCCAAAUAAAGUUAUCAGAAAAGUCAAAGAUUUAUCUGUUCCGUAGUUUAAGCCGUGACUCAUAUACCUUUAUCGUGCAUAUUUUGAAUGCAAUAAUUUUUCAAUCUACAAUUAAGGUACUUCCGUCCAUAGAUUUUCUACAAAUUAAUUAUUUAUUUAUAACUUUUUUCUUAUUUUUUAGUCUGAAUAUAAUAAUCUCUAUCAAUGUUAACGAGUCAAUGAUCAGGAGGCCAAAUUUAAAUUUUUCAAUGUUCAAUAAGUAUGAUUUUGUUUUAAUUUGCUUUCUUCUUAAGCUCUUUAUUAUUUUGUGACUUUGAAUUUUCUUAUUUUUUACUCAUACACAUAAAAUUGUAAUCUAACAAUUUUAUUGAUUGAUGUUUACAUAUCUCUUAGUAUAAACUUUAGACAUGUAUUAAAUUUUAACUUAUUUAUAAAAUGUAAGAACUGCUAAUAUGUAAUACAUUAAGAUUGAUUAAAAUUAAAUAAAGUUAUCGAUUAAUGUGUAUUGAAUAAUAAUAAAUAUAAUUACUGCCUUCCUAUUUUUCCCUUUUCCUCUAUUUUCUUUCAAGUUCCUUCCUCCAUAAUUAUAUAUUGAAUGUAAUAUAUUGAAAAUAGUUUUUUCGUAUUAGUUGAAGUAGAAGUCUUAUAUGUGUAUUAUCGCUAAAUGGCCAAAAACAAGUUUAAAUAAGACCAAUAGCUAAAUCAGAACUUUUUAAAAUUGAAUAUAUGCAUAAAAAUUAUUUACAUCCUCAAUUUUGAUAUAAAAUGCAUGCACCCACCCAAACUAUACCGUGAAUAGUACCUACAAGAACAAUCUAACACCUUUCUCACUUUUCUUUUCUCAAAAUAUAGAUAAAACACGGACAUAGCCAGUGGUAUUGUGCUAUGUAGAGGAGAUAUGGAGCUAAAAAAUAUCGUAGUUUGUGUCCAUAACAUUUCUCAAAAGCUUGUACAGUUAAUUAUGUCAAGACCAAAAGGAAAUUUAUGAUGGCUGAUUAAUGUACGUUACAGUACUCCAAUAAUCAAAUUCAUCAUAGACACUAUAUCUUUUUCUACUCUCUUUUACUGGCGAAUAGUUGGAAUGCCUCAAAACUUCAUGAAUUUAACCAGGAGUUAAGAAAGUUAUUCAAUAAUUUAAGAAAUGUUGCGGCAAAUGGUGGUUACCUUAGAUGAUCGUAUUCUAAGAGGCAAUAGCAAGUCUAUUGCAGAAAUUGUUGGUGUGUUAAAAUAUGACUGUUAUGGAGAUUUUAUAUAUGUGUGUGUGUUUUACUGCAUAAUUUUUCUAAAAGUCAUUUAAACACGAUUUGACAUAAUUAUUUUUGUGAUUAUUUUUAGUGUCAGCUGUAUACAUGUGUUUGCAUAGUGUUGGAAUUUAUGUUGUAUACAUGUUAUGUUAUUGUACAAAAUGCAAGCUUUGAUUUGAAUUUCUUAAUGGAGGAGCAGAAAUUUUAUAUCCCAAAAUAUAAAAAAUUAGAAGGGUCUUGCUACAUUUCUACAUAAACCCAGGGCUUGUUAAUAAGUUGAAUAAUAAUUAUUGUAAUUUGUUACAAAUAGUUGUUUUAUACUACUUUUAAAAAAUUAUUAUUUAAUUAUUUUUUAUAGUAUUUAGAAUUUAAAAUUAAGAAAUCCUAAAUAUAUUAUUAUAAAAAAAUAUUUUAGAAAUUAAAGAUUCCUAAAAUAUAUGGUAAGAGAAAAAUCUAUUAUAAAAAUUAAUGAGUCCUAUAAUAUAUGGCAAGAGAAAAUGUAUCCCAAGAAAUAUUCGGAAAGUUAAUAAUUAAGAAGUCUCAAAAUACAUGGCAUGAGAAGAAUAUGUUAUAUUUUAUUAAAUAUAAUUUUACUGACAUGAGACACACUUGCAAAGCACGUAUACUGAACUAGUUUGUUCAGAAACUUUUAAUGAGAAGAAAACUAUAACGAUCUAAAAAUUUGAUAAAAUACGUAAAAUUUGUGUUUUUAUGUGAUUUGACUGUUUUACCCCUAUUCAUAAUUGUAUUAUAAUAUUUUUGUGGUGUGGGAGUGAUUGACAUGGUUCCCGGUGCAUUUUGGUAUCAUUUAUGCAAUAUUGUAGUUUUUGAUGGCUUCAAGAGCCUUAUUUUGGACUUAUAUGGAUAUCUUUUGAUCCGUGCGAUGGAUGGCCAAACGGAUUGCGCCAGCAGCUUCGGAAUAUUGAUUUUAGGUUAGGUAGACCUUUGGUUUGGGUCUCGGUGCUUCUGAGCUCAUUUCGACCUAUUGGUCGGAAAGUUAAAAAUAUGAGUGUGGGAUGCACAUUUGAUCGAAACAACCUCGAAUGAAAAAUUCGACUUUCCCAACAGAUCCGUAAUGUUGAUUUUAGGGUAUUAGCAUGUUUGAUAUGAUUUUACAGCUUUUAAAUCUCAUUUUGAUCCUCGGUUUGAAAAAUUGCAAUUUCGAAUUUUGGGGGUUAACUUUUUGAAAGUGAUAUUUUUCGAAAAUCCAACUUUGCAAACGCGUCAGAAACAUCAAAUUUAGUGUGGUUGCAUAGUUCGUUUACAUAUAUUAUACUCCGAACUAAUUUUGGGUACCCCGUCGAAGUCCAGAUUGACUUAAAAAACAGUUUUUUAGCUAUAUCUGUUCAGAAAAAUCUGCAAUAAUAAAUAGCAGUGUCGAGCCUAUUUUUGCUCAUUUUUCAUCUUGCCUCUUGAGAGUUAAACCCUAAAAUAAUGUGGGAGCUUAAAAGUGAAGCUUGUGGGAGCUUGGGAGGUUAGAUUAACAUAUAUUUCUUGGUUUUAUUACGGAUUUAAGGUAAGAAUUCACCCUUUUCUUAGUAAUUUCUAGAUUAAUUUUUCAAGACCCAAAAAUCUUGUGGCUUGAUUUUAAACUUCAAUUUCACUCCUUUUCACUUGAAUAAUGUUUUUAUCUUAUAAUUACUAGUUUUUCAUCAUUUUAACCUUCCAAAAACUCUGAUUCUUGAUUUUAACCCGGAUUUCAAAGAUCUUACCCUGUAAAACUUAAAAAUGGGUUUUCUUUGAUUUAAACCUCGUUUUUUUACUCAAUUUGACUUGUUUUUUUUCAUAUAUAGGUUCCUAAAAAUAUGAGGAACACAUUUUUAAAGUAAACUUUUGAUUUUUUCCUUCAUUUUCGAAAACUCAUUUCGGAGAUUCGUUUUGACCUCGAACCAAAAGUAGUCACUAUGAGUGUCGUUGAUUUUAUUUUGACGUGUAGAUUUUAUAUUUGGAGUUUGGGAUCAUUCGUGGAAAGUAAGGUUGUGGGUUCGAAGUGUAGCGGAUCGGUUUUGACUUUUGAGGUAAGUUAUAGCUUAACUCUUUCAGACUGGGUUGGAUAGUAAAUGAUGGUACAAAAUGCAUGUUAAGGGUGGGAACUAAUCAUGAAAAAUGACUAUCUAUGUGUUGUGUCCGUGUGGGGGCCUAUAUGUGAUGUAAUUAUCAAAAUUGAGAUAUAUGUGAUGUGUGUGAUUAUGUGGAGUCCUAUGUGAUGUUGAUAGCCCUAAAUACAUAUGGAUAAUUGUACUAUAUUAUUGAAAUUCCUAAUAUGAUACCAUUGGUGUAUUGUGAUAGAUUCAUACUUAUUGGUAUAUGAGACAUGUGGAAAUUCAUGAAUGAAAUGAAAAUAAUGAAUGGAUAUUGACUCACAUGGUUGUGGAAAUAUAUCAUUGUGGUUGGUUGUGGAACUAUACCAUGUAGUUGGUUGUGUAAAUACUCUUUGUGAUUGGUUCUGAGCAUUACAUCCUCAUAUCAUACUCAUUCAUGAAAUGUUGGUACCACCGUGGCAACACCUGAGUAACACUGGCAACACCUUUUUGAAACCCUCCUCGAGGGAUAUGUCGGGGAGGAGAUAUUGUAACAUCUUAUAAAACUCUUUUCGAGGAAUGUGACGGAAAAGAGAUAUGAGAUAUGUGGAUUAUAUAUGGGUUGACGAACCUCCAUUGGGUCUUACAUCGGGAAGCUUUAGCUCCGUAGGUGUAUAUAGGAAUUGUGCGAAAAUCUCAUAGGAUGUGCGACGACCUCGUGCAUCAUCAUCAUCAUCAUCAUUAUAUAUAUAUUGCACUUACUUUAUUGUGUUUAAGUUGUGUUGCACUGACAUACUGACUUGUCAUCUAUGUAUUUGUUUUACCUUCCUAUACUUGUAUUUGAUGAUCUUGUAUCUACAUGUUCUCCCUUAUUCUACUUAUAUAUGACAUAAUGUAUACUUGUGUUUUAUAUCUUGGUGUAUUGUUGUAAUAUAUGUGAUAUAUUAAAACUGUUAGUGCAAGCGGUGUGGGCUAUCAUUGUGGGAUAUUUUUUGAUUGUAGGUGAUGUGCCCUUAGCGUAUAUUUUGUAUGCUUUAUUUUAUAAUUUGCUCGGUCGGCCUAUGAUACCUACUGAGUACAAGUGGAUCAUACUUACUUCCACUUCACCCUUUUUGUGCAACUUUAGGCUUGGGUGCGCCUCAGAUUGGUUGAGUUCGGGCACCUUUAGAUUUCUCAAGGUAGCGAUUGGACAUUCAUACGUAUGGAGUUCACCUUUAUAUUUCUAUAUUAAUUAUGUUUUUACUAAUGUUCGGAGACAGAUAUUUUCAUUUAUGGUAAUUGUUCUGAUAUAUUUGAUACUGGAAUUGUAUUAGUAGUUCUUAUACUGUUGACACCAGUUUUUGGGAGUUAUAGCUACAUAUGUUAUUUUAUUAUUUUUGCUUUUAUUAUAUCAUCGUGGUUUGGCUUCGUUCUAAAAUCCUUACCUUGGGGUCUUUCUAUCUUUGUCCCAUUUGUGUAUCAAUUUGGGUAAUAGGCUUACUUGUUAAGGUUCGUCGCCAAAAGUGCCAUCAUAACCCUUAUUUUUUGGGUUGUGACAAAUUAAUAUCAGAGCAGUCAGAUUUCAUUGGUCUCAGCGGUGUAAGAACGAGAUGUCUAAUAGAGUCUCAUGGAUUGGUACGUAGAUGUCGUAUCUAUCUUCGAGAGGCUAUAGAAUGUCUUUAGGAAACUUUUCUUAUUUUUAUUCCUUACCGUGAGAAGUUCUUUCAUAUUUUGUGUUUUGAGUUAUGUUUCACUCAUUCUACGCAGAUGGAGUUGACUACGUCCCGUGAGAGUAGUGAUGUAGAGCCUUCACCUAGAGGGCAAGCCUUAAGUCAUGAUGACCCUGUGGUGCAGCUCCGUCUAGGAGGAAUGCGAGGGGACUCUCCCCUGAGCCUCAUGUUGAACGGGUUGGAGGUAUAGGUCCUACUCCAUUUCUUCAGAGUUUAUCUACCCCAGUAUUGGAGGGAUUGUUGAUACAUUUGUUGACCCGUUUAGAGGGUUCUCCCAUAGUAAUGUUGGGUGUUCCUCUAGUUCAGAGUGUUUCCUUCUGUUGCACAUGCUUAUGGUUUGGGUACACUUCAGACCCCUAGUCCUAUUCGACCUUCAGUGCCGAUACCUGACUAUGGGGUUAUGAGAUCAAGAGUCCAGCCAUCAUCUUUGUUACCUCCCCAGAUAGGAUCACAACCUGCUAGAUUUACUAUAUCUUAUCUCAUGGCUAGUGUAGUGAUGUCUUCUAAAGAUUAGAAGAGGUUCGAGAGGUUUACUCAGUUGGGUCCUCCCAUAUUGGUAGCGUAGCGGGCGAGGAUGCCUACAAGUUUCUGAUUAAUUAUCGAAAAGUUGCACAAUUUGGGUUUACUCGAAUCUCAUGGAGUUACUUAUACCUCUUAUCAGUUAAGAGAUGCAACGAGAGAUUGGUAAAGGUCGCCUGUCAGUUGUAGACCCCGUGAUUCUCUCGAGAUGACUUGGGAUCAGUUCACCGAGGCUUCCCUAGAGAGAUUUCUAUCUUUCAGCUUGAGAUAUCAUAUGCGGAACAAGUUUAAUCAUUUGGAGCAGGGCUCCAUGACAGUUUCUGAGUAUGAGGAACGCUUACAUGCCUUGUCCAGAUAUUUCUAUGAUAGCAUUUUCAUCGAGUCUGAGAAGAUUCAAAAGUUUGUGAAGGGUUUGGAUGUCUCCCUUCAGUUGGCUAUGUCUCAAAUGGUUAUGUUUGGGGAUUCUUUUAGAGUAUUAUGGAUCAUACUAUGAUGAUAGGGGGUAUUCUUAGUGCAUCUCAAGAAGGCACCAAGAAGCCGAGAUAUUUUGGUGAGUUCAGGAGUCAGACCUCUCGAGGUAGACAUUUUAGAGGUUUUCAUGGAUACCAUAGUAAGCUAGUAUAGGAGGAUUUACAGAGCUCUGAUGGUGGACCUUCUAGUUCAUCAGUUCAGGGUGGUCGUUCGAGCUUAGUUGUACCUUUUUCUGUUGAGACUGGUCAUAGAGGUUGCUAUAUGUAUGAUGAGAUUGGCCAUGUAGCCAAAGACUAUAUCUAUCAUGAGGUUCAAGCUACUCUUAUUCCAACUAUGGUAGAGGUGAUACCAAAGGUGCGAAGGGCAGAGCUAGUAGAGCUCGAGGGGUGUUCAUGUAUCCACUCAAGUAAUUGGUGGUCGUGGGGUUCAUCAAGCAGUUGUGGUCGUUGUCACUGUUAUUCUAUACCAGCCAUGCCUAAGGAAGAGGCUUUUGAUGCAAUGAUUACAAGUAUCGUCCCCAUUUGUUUCAAACCUACAUCUAUAUUAUUUGAUCCUGAAUUAACUUUAUCCUAUAUGUCUGUAUAUUUUGCUUCAGGUUUUGAUUUUGUUAGUAAGCCUCUUGCUAUUCGUGUAUCUACCCCAGUAGGUAAUUCUUUAGUGGUGGAUCGGGCGUAUCGAUCUUAUGUUGUGACUUUUGCCGCCUUUAUUAGAUAUGAUAUAUUUUGAUAUUAUUUUGGGUAUGGAUUGGUUGGCUCUCUAUCAUGUCGUCCUAAAUUGUUAUGCCAAGACCGUCACCGUAGCAUCGCUGGGUGUGCCAAGGAUAGCUUGGAAGGGUGCAGUUCAUUUGAGUCCUAGAAGAAUUAUAUCUUAUGUUUAGGCUCUCAAAUUCAUUAAAAGGGGAUGUUUAUCUUACUUGAACCAUAUUUGUGACACCACUGUUGUUUUAUCUUCUUUCUUAGAUUCUGUCUGCAUUGUUCAUGAGUUUAUGUACGUGUUCUCUAUGGACUUGCCUGGUAUGACUUUGGAUCGAGAUAUUGAUUUCGCUAUUGAUGUUGAGCUGGGACCAAGCCCAUCUCUAUUUUUUCUUAUUGGACGGCCGAAUCAGAGUUAAAAAAAAUUAAAGGAUCAAUUUCAGGAGUUGUUGGAUAAAGGAUUUAUCCGACUUAGUGUUUUGCCUUGGGGUGCACUAGUCUUGUUUGUGAAGAAAAAGGAUGGGUCUAUGUGGAUUUGUAGUGAUUAUCAGCAGUUGAAUAAGGUGACAGUUAAGAAUAAGUAUCCUUUUUCUCUUAUUGAUGAUUUAUUUGAUCAGCUUCAGGGUGCUGUGGUGUUUUUGAAGAUUUAUUUAAGGUUCGGUUAUCACUAGUUGAGGAUUAGAGCUUUGGAUAUUCCGAAGACAACUUUUCAAACUUGAUAUGGUCAUUGUGAUUUUUUGGUCAUGUCCUUUGGGUUGACUAAUGCCCCUGAUGCGUUCAUGGAGUUAAUGAAUCGGGUGUUUCAACUAUAUCUCGACUCCUUUGUUAUUAUGUUUAUAGAUGAUAUCUUAGUUUAAUCCAAGAGUGAGGUUGAGCAUGAAAAACAUUUGCAGAUUGUGCUUCAGAGAUUGAGGGGUGAGGAGUUGUAUGUUAAGUUCCCUAAGUGUGAGUUUUGGUUGGAGUCUGUGUCUUUCUUGGGUCAUGUGGUGACUAAGGAAGGUAUCAUGGUUGAUCCAGCCAAGGUUGCAGUAGUUCCCGAUUGGGCUAGACCUACUUCGCCCACCGAGAUUCGGAGUUUUGAUGGAUUGGUCGGGUAUUAUCGGCGUUUUAUCGAGGGUUUCUCUUUGAUUGUAGCUCCUUUGACUAAGUUGACUCAGAAUAAGAUUUUCUUCCAGUAGUCUGAUGCUUAUGAGGCGAGCUUUCAAAGGUUCAAGGAUUUGUUAACUUCAGCUCUUAUAUUGGCUUUGCCCUAGGAGGGCGUGGGCUUUACCGUAUUUUGUGAUGCUUCUGGUGUUGGAUUGGGUGUUGUGUUGAUGCUGGAAGGCAAGGUGAUUGCGUAUGCAUCUCGUCAGUUGAAGCCACUUGAGAGGAAUUAUCCUAUCUAUGAUUUGGAGUUAUGCGCAGUUGUGUUUGCCUUGUAGUUAUGGAGGCACUACUUAUAUGGAGUCCGUUGUGAGAUCUUCUCAGAUCAUCAUAGCCUUCAGUACUAUUUUACUCAGCGAGAUCUUAAUAUGAGACAGAGCCAUUGGCUUGAGUUGCUUAAGGAUUAUAACUUGAUUAUUCUUUAUCUUUCGGGCAAGGCUAAUGUGGUUGCGGAUGCCUUGAACCAAAAGUCGACUAGCAUGGGUAGUUUGGUGCAUAUUUUGACAUAAGAUGGGCCUUUGGCUUUAGAGGUUCAGUCUUUAUCUAACCAGAUAGUUAGGCUUGAUAUUUCAACACCUGGGCAUGUUUUUGCAUUUGUGGAUGCUAGAUAUUCUUUGAUGGAACAGAUUCGAGUUCAUCAGUUUGAUGAUGUUGGAUUAAGGUCGAUUUGAGAUAAGGUAUUGGGUGGGAAUGCUAAGGAAUCCUUACUUGACUCAGAUUGAAUUUUGUGGAUUAGAGGUCGAGUUUGUAUGCCGAGAGUGGCUGACUGGAUUAGAUUGAUCUUGAAGGAGGCCCAUUGUUCCAGAUAUUCCAUCUAUCCAAGUGUGACUAGGAUGUAUCGUGAUUUGAGACAACAAUGCUGGUGGGGUGGUAUAAGGAGAGAUAUAGCAGAUUUUAUGGCUCAUUAACUUUGUUAUCAGUAGGUGAAAGUCGAGCAUAUAAGAUGUGGUGGUUUGCUUCAGAGGUUACCCGUUCUUGAGUGAAAGUGGGAACACAUCACCAUAGACUUUGUGACUGGUUUGCCUCGUACAUCUCAUGGUUCUGACAGUGUUGGGUUAUCAUGGAUCGAUUGACCAAGUCAUCUCAUUUUAUUCUGAUUCAGGUCUCAUUUUGUGUAAGAGGUUGGCCCAUAUCUACAUUUGUAAGAUUGUGUGUCUUCAUGGUGUGUCGAUGUCCGUUAUUUCAGAUCAAGGUCCCAUGUUCACAUCUCACUUUUGGAAGACUUUUCAAGAUGAUUUGGGUACUUGGGUUGAUCUUAGCACAGUAUUUCACCUCUAGACUGAUGGAAAAUUAGAGCGGAAUAUUCAGGUUUUGAAGGAUAUGCUUCGCGCAUGCAUGAUGGGUUUUGGUGGCCAAUGGGAGCAGCAUUUGGCUUUAGCAGAGUUUGUAUAUAAUAAUAGCUACCAUUCCAAUAUUGAUAUGACUUCUUUUGAAGCAUUGUAUAGUAGACGUUGUUGAUCCCAAGUGGGUUGGUUUGAUGUUUCAGAGGUGAGACCUCAUGGUAUGGACUUGCUUCGUAGGUCUUUGGAUAGAGUCCGGGUCAUUCCGGAUAGACUUAGAGUGGCUCAGAGUAGGCAGAAGUGUUAUGCUGAUCGUAGACUUCGUACCUUGAGAUUUGGUGUUAGUGAUCAUGUUUGCCUUAGAGUUUCACCCAUCAAGGGUGUCAUGAGGUUUGGGAAGAGGGGCAAGCUUAGCCCCAGGUAUAUUGGUCUAUUUGAGAUUCUUUGGACUGUUGGUGAUGCGGCUUAUGAGUUGGCUUUUCCCCCUGAUCCACCAGCUGUUUAUCUAGUUUUUCAUAUUUUUAUUCUUUGUUGUUACAUUCUGGAUAAGUUUCAUAUUAUUCGUUGGGAGUCGGUUUAGUUAGAUGAGCGGUUGUCCUUUGUUGAGGAGCUAGUCUCCAUUUUGGCUAGGAAUGUUAGGCGGUUGUGCUCUAGAGUGAUCCCUGUGGUUAAGGUCUAAUGGCGACAUCGACCUAUAGAUGAGACUACUUUGGAGGUCGAGUCUGAUAUGCAUAGUUCUUAUCCUCAACUCUUCAUUGAUUCAGGUAUUUCUUUGUCUUAGUUCGAUGAUGAACUACAUUGUUAGUGGUUGAUGAUGUAACUACCUAAAAAUUUGAUAAAAUAUGUAAAAUUUGUAAUUUUAUGUAAUUUGAUUGUUUUACCCCUCCUCAUAGUUGCAUUAUAAUAUUUUUGUGGUGUGGGGUGAUUGGCAUGGUUCUCGAUGCAUUUUGGUACCAUUUAUGUGAUAUUGUAGUUUUGAUGGCUUUGAGAGCCUUAUUUUGGACUUAUAUAGAUAUCUUUUGAUUCGUACGAUGGAUGGCCGAAUAGAGUGCGCCAGCAGCUCCGGAAUAUCGAUUUCAAGCUAGGUAGACAUUUGGUUUGGGUCCUGGUGCACCCGAGCUCAUUUCGACCUAUUGGUCAAAAAGUUAAAAAAUUAGAAAUAUGGGUGUGGGAUCCACAUUUGAUCGAAACGACCUCGGAUGAAAAAUCUGACUUUGCCAACAGAUUCGAAAUGUUGAUUUUAGGGUGUUAGAAUAUUUGGUAUGAUUUUAUGGCUUUUAAAUCUCAUUUUGAUUCUCGAUUUAGAAAAUUGCAAUUUCGGGUUUCGGGAGUCCACUUUUUUAAAAUGAUGUUUUUUUGAAAAUCCGAAUUCGUCAGCGCAUCGAGAACGUCGAAUUUAGUGUGGUUGUAUAGUUUGUUUUCAUAUAUCGAACUCCAAAUGAAUUUUGGGAACCCCGACGAAGUUCGAAUUGACUUUAAAAAAACAGCUUGUCAGCUAUAUCUGUGCAGAAAAAUCUGCAAUAACAGAUAGCAGUUUCGGGCCUAUUUUUGCUCAUUUUUCAUCCUGCCUCUUGAGAUUUAAACCCUAAAAUAGUGUGGUAGCUUAAAAGUGAAGCUCUUGGGAGCUUGGGAAGCUAGAUUAACAUAUAUUUCUUAGCUUUAUUACAGAUUUAACGUAAGAAUUCAUCCUUUUCUUAGUAAUUUCUUGAUUAAUUUCUCAAAAUCCAAAAAUCUUAAGGCUUGAUUUUAAAUCUCAAUUUCACUACUUUACACUUGAAUAAUAUUUUUUAAUCUUAUAAUUACUAUUUUUUUAUCAAUUAACAUUCAAAAUAACUCUGAUUCUUGAUUUUAAUCCGGAUUUCAAAGAUUUUACUGGGUAAAGCUCAAAAAUGGUUUUCCUUCGAUUUGAACCUAGUUUUUUUACUCGAUUUGACUUGGAUUUUAAUCUUUAGGUUCCUAAAAAUAUGGAGAGCAUAUUUUUAAAGUAAAAUUUCGAUUUUGCUUUUCUUUUUCGGAAAACCAUUCCGGGAUCCAUUUUAAACCUGAACCAAAAGUAGUCAAUAUGGGUGUCAUUAUUUUUAUUUUGAUGUGUAGAUUUAAUAUUAGAUAUUUUUAGUGGAGUUUGAGAUCAUUUGUGGAAAGUAAGAUCGUGGACUCGAAGUGUAGCAGACUGAUUUCAGCUUUUGAGGUAGGUUAUGGCUUAACUCUUUCAGACUGGGAUGAAUAGUGAAUGAUGGUACAAAAUGCAUGUUAAGGGUGAGAACUAAUCAUGAAAAAUGAUUAUCUACGUGUUGUGCCCGUGUGGGGGCCUAUAUGUGAUGUAAUUGUCGAAAUUGAUAUAUUAUGUGAUGUAUGUGACUGUGUGGAGUCCUAUGUGAUGUUGAUAGCCCUAAAUACAUGUGAAUAAUUGUACUGUAUUGUUGAAAUGCAUAAGAUGGAACCAUUGGUGUACUGUGACAUAUUCAUACUUAUUGGUAUAUGAGACAUGUGGAAAUUCAUGGAUGAAAUGAAAAUAAUGAGUGGAUAUUGACUCACAUGGUUGUGGAAACGUAUCAUUGUGGUUAGUUGUGGAACUAUAUAAUGUGGUUGGUUGUAGAAAUAAUAUUUGUGGUUGGUUGUGAGCAUUACAUCCUCAUAUCAUACUCAUUCAUUAAACAUUGGUACCAAUUGGUAACACCUGAGUAACACUGCAACACCUUUUUGCCGAGGAGUAGAUACUGUAACACCUUAUUAAACCCCUUUCGAAGAAUAUACUGGAAGGGAGAUAUGAUAUAUAUGGAUUGUAUACGGGUUGAUGAACCCUCCAUGGAUCCUAUGUCGGGAAGCUUUAGCUCCGUAGGUGUAUACAGGGUUUGUGCAGUGAUCCCAAAGGUUGUCCAAUGAUCUCGUGCAUCAUCAUCAUCAUCAUCAUCAUCAUCAUCAUAUACAUUGCACUUACUUUAUUGUGUUUAUGUUGUGUUGUAUGGCCAUAUUGACUUGUUAUCUUUGUAUUUGUCUUACCUUCCUUUUCUUGUAUUCGAUGAUUUUGUAUCUACAUGUUCUCCCUUGGUCUACUUAUAUGUGACAUAAUGUAUACUUAUGUUCUGUAUCUUGGUGUGUUGUUGUAAUAUAUGUGAUAUAUUAGAACUGUUAGAGCACGCGGUGUGGGCUAUCAUUGCGAGAUAUUUUUCUGAUUGCAGGUGAUGUGUCCUCAGUGUGUAUUUUGUAUGCUUUAUUGUCUACUUUGCUCGGUCGGCCUAUGAUACCUACUAAGUACAAAUGGAUCAUACACACCCCUACUUCUCCCUUUCUAUGCAACUUUAGGCUCGGGUGCGCCUCAGAUUGGUUGAUUUCUGGUACCUUCAAAUUUCUUAAGGUAGCGGUUGAACAUUCAUACGUCUGCAGUUCACCUCUAUCUUUCUAUACUAGUUAUGUCUUUAUUAGUGUUUGGAGAUAGAUAUUUUCUUUUUUGGUUAGUUUUCUGAUGUAUUUGACUCUGGAAUUAUAUUAGUAGUUUUUAUACUGUUGACACUAGGUUUUGAUAGUUAUGGUUUCAUGUGUUAUUUUACUCUUUCCGCUUUUAUUAUAUCAUAAUGGUUCGACGUCAUUCUAAAAGCCUUAUCUUGGGGGUAUUUCUAUCUUUUUUUCCUUUGUGUAUCAGUUUAGGUGGUUGUUUUAUGGAAAUUUUGACUUUUUAGAGUCGCCACUUAAUUUAUUUGAAAAGGAAUUAACAAAACCUUUAUAAAGUACUUAAACGAUCCAAAACAGAAAAAUCAUUUAAAUUUGAAGAUUCUGAGUAAGCAGUUCCUAUUGAUACAAUUGGAAGGUUGUUAAGGCACCAAGAGUAUCCACUAACUUACGGUUAUCCAGACUAUUUGAAAAUAUCUUUUGACUAACUUCAAAAAAAUUCAUUGUUGAAAAGUGAUUAAUUUUAGAAAAAGACUUGUAUAAAAUAGUUUUGGACGACUUAGUAGGGAUUUUAACUAAGUCUAAACAAACUAAUAACAAAGCAUGUAAAAUGGAAGGGGGCGAAAAUAAAAGACUUAGGCCGUUGGGCCCAAAUCAAUAGACCAUGUCCUAAUCUAAUUGGACUUUUGGUCCACUUGCACCUGUCCUAAUCUAAACGUUGGGCCUAGGCCCGUAACUUGUCCUAAACUAAUUUUUCAGGCCUGUUGGCCCAAAAGCUGCUCCACCGGUAUUAAUUUAUAAUUUUGGCUUUGAGGACCCGAAUAAAUGAAUAAGUAAAUGCUUAAAUGAAUAAAUAAAAAGAAAACAAUAAUAAAAAUUAAGACUUUUCAAGUCUCUUAGUGACCUCAUCAAUGAAUUUUGACCCAUUUUCCUUCUUCGUCUAUCUUCUAGCACCCGAACGCCAUAUAGUCGACCUUGGGUUUAAUCUUCGAACUUGACUUGAAGAGGUGAGCCUCAUUGGCCCAUUACGAAAUGUAAGAGGAGAUGAGUCAAUUUGAACUAGAGACAUUUUUUGCAUGCAAAGAAAAGAUAAAGAAGUUAAUAUACGUUCAAGGCAUAAAAGUGACAUAUUUCAAAGCAAAAGAAACUAUCAAGGACCAAUUUUUGAAGGACAAUGAUAAGCGCACUUGCACAAGAAUGAGAGUCAACAAAUAAAAUGCAAAGCAAAGACACCCACUUACAUGCCUCAUGAUUUAUUUUCUUAUAAGAAUGAAUAAAGGUAAAAGGAAGAAAAUCGUAUUCAAAAAAUUAAUGCGAGAACAAACGACGCAAGUUUGCGAGAGUAAAGGGAUGAGGCGAUAAGAAAAUACUCAUGACUUCUAAAAUUGAACAAACAUAGAAACUAAUUCAUAUAACAAAAGAAAAUAAAGGCUAACUUCUAAAGAAAGUGAAUCUUUAAAUUUCUAUUAAGGAGAAAUUAACGAAGAUUCAUACAUCUAAGUCAUGGCAACUUUAGGGAAAACAUGUAACGACCUAUGAUUUAUCGUUCUAAGACAUCGUUGAUUCUCUUUUGAUAUUAUGACUCAAAGAGAGACAUGAAUCAAGUCUUUACACACACAAAGAACACAUAUAACAAUUCAAAGGGAGUAAGAAAAUUAGAAUAAAAGUUUAGCAUCUCUAAAAGUGAAAUAUCGUUCAACAAUCAUACUAUGCAUGACUCGAGAAUAUCUAAAUAAUUUUAUUUAGCCAUAAAAAUUCUAACUUUCUCAUCAUUUUGACAAAUUAACAACAUGCAAAAAAAAAGAAAAAGAAAAGAAAUAAACAUCUUGGAUGGAAAAUAAAGCUAGUACUCAUCACUUAUAUGAGGAUUUUGAAAUCCAUUAAAAUAAUUAGCAAGCAAAUGACAAAUUCUUGACUUAAUCAAUUACUAUUUUUAUUAAGGCGAAACAAACAAUAGUAACGAUUUUUCCAACAUAAAAGAAACAACUUUACAUGCUAAUAACAAGCAUAUCCACUAAUAAUGAAUUUAAACAUGGCUUGAAUACGUCUUUUGAGCAGAGAUCAAAACUUUAUACAUAACAAUCAAAGAAUAAAGUCAAAAGGUAAAACAAUUAAUAUUAACUAUUCUUUUCAACAUAAAGAAAAUAACUUUACAUGCUAAAAACAAACAUAUCUACCAACAAUGAGUUUAAACAAGACAUGGGUAUGUUUUCAGGCAAAGGUCUAAACUUUAUCCAAAAUAAUCAAAGAUUAAGAUCAAAAGGCAAAAUAAUCAAUAUUAACUAUUUUUUUCAACAUCAAGAAAAUAACUUUAGAUGCUAAAAACAAACAUAUCUACCAACAAUGAGUUUAAACAAGACAUGAGUAUGUUUUUCUAGCAAAGAUCUAAACUUUAUCCAAAAUAAUCAAAGAAGGUCAAAAGGCAAAACAAUCAAUAUUAACUAUUAUUUUCAGCAUAAAUAAAAUAACUUUACAUGCUAAAAAUAAAAAUAUCCACCAACAAUGAGUUUAAACAAAGCAUAAGUACAUCUCUUAAGCAAAGAUUGAAACUUUAUCUAUAAUAAUCAAAGAAUAAAGUAAAAAAAAGGCACGUACAACUAUUGCUAGCUUAUUUUUAUAUCUUGAACAUGAAAAUAAUUAAAAUAUCGAUACCACAAAGUCAUAUGGCCUUCAAGGCCAUCUACAACAGACAACUCCAGCAAAUAAAUUAUAAUUACGAAUUACGAAGAAGAAAAAGAUGAUGUAGAAAAUCAUAAUAAAACUAAAACAAAAAGAAAAUAUUUGUUUACCUUUUUUGGGACAGCAAAACGAGACUACGAGCUUCGUCGGAAUAAACCACCACCGAAAAACAUCGCCGGCAACUCAAAAAUUAUGAUUAGCCGACCAACUCUAUGAAACAAAAAUUUUUACUAAAUGAAAAUAACUAUGUUGCUCAAAUUUUUUUUUUAUACCUUUCUAGCCCUUUUUUUUUUAACUUUUCCACCAUCCUUUCUACCAAAGUAGUGAUAGUACUUAUAGGAGAGAAUGAAGUUUUAUUUUAUUUUCUCCAUCAAUGUGGGAGAAAAGUAUUUAUAGGAAAGGAUGAAGAUUUAUUCCUUGUCAUCCACCAAUGUAGGAGAAAAGCCAUUUAAGGGUACUUUUGGAAUUUAAAAAUUGAAGAUAAGGUGAGGUGAAAGAUAAUAUGGGAGGAAAUUGUACAAUGUAGUAUAAUUUUUGAAUUUUAAAAUUGGGAAAGGACAAAGUUGGGGAAAAAUAGUACAAUGUAGUACAAUUUAAAAUUAUUUUUUGGUGGGAAUUGGAUAGAAGUUAUGUGAGUUUUGGGAAAUUUUGGGGUUAUUUAAACUAUAACCCCAAUUAAAAUUUAAAAUUUAGCCAUAUUCAUUUAAUUUUGACCAAAUUAAAAAUCAAUUGACGGAUUGCAUUGCAAUUAUGACCAAUUUGAUUUCAAUUAUGGUCAAAUCUAAUAGAUUGACUAAAUUAAAUUGAAAUUCGAUACGAAUUAAUAGUUCUUUUAAUCCCGAGCUUCUUGAUCUAAUAAAAUCAAACACAUAUUCAUCCAAAUAAAUUAUUUUUGAGAAUAAAUUAUAUUUAAAUUAAUAUUUUAAUUCUUUAAAUUUAUUUCAAGACAAACCUUGAUUAAAAUCCGAUAUUUUAUAAAAAUGGAUAUUUAAGUAAAAAAUUAUUUAAUUUCGUAUAAUUGAAUAUGUUAAUAUAUAAUCGCUAUUAAAAUGACAAACUUACCUAGAUAAAUAUUUUGAAAAGCUUUUUAUCCGGAUAAAAUAAAUAUUUUAAUUUUAUUUAAAAAAUCAAAGAAACUUGUAAUCAAACUUAGUUAUGGAGGGCAAAAAUUAGGUGUCAACAACUGCCCCCUCCUUUUGGGUAGGGUGAAUGCAAGUAACCCUGGGCAAAGGGAGGUUGAUGUUCCUAAUUUUUGUCCGACCAAUAAAUUCGAAUUUGAAAAAGUUUGGUUUCGCACGAGUUUCAGAGUUAUGGCUAGACCUCGGUAUCAAGUUUCCCAUAUAUAUCAGGUUACAUGAGAAUUCAGGCUAUUUGUAGUUCAUAAAGCUUGAUUUAAAGCACAGUUUUUAAAAGUUCACAAGCUAUGUUGGUUUUAGAUUUGUUUAUGAAACCAAAAAGCUAAAGAAUAAAGGGAUUUGGGGGGAGGUUGGAAUGCAGUCGAAUUUUCUAUAUAGAUCCAAUCCUACAUAUCCCCAAGAUUUCAGAAAAUCAGAUUGCUUGUAGUUCGACUCAAUCGGUAUAAAAAAUGGUCUUUUAUUUCAGACGAUUUUUGGCUCUAGAUGAGUGAAAAGUUGAUUGAGUUGCAGAAAAGAGGCUUGAAACCUCUUAACCAUGAAUGUGGAGUACUUCACAUCCAUAGGUAAGAAUUUAACUGGACAUAAUUUCUAAAACUCUAGGUGUGUUGUCACUCGAAUUUGAAAGAAGAGAAGAUUACCUUCCAGUAUGAGUUUAUAAAUAUCCCAAAGGUAAAGCUGAAAUAAAAAUAUCCCAAAGUACCCACAUGCCUUCUAACAGGGGUAUGGUUUGAUUGGUAGUGGCGAUGAUCCUUCAGCUCGCGUCCAAAGAGUUUUACGUUCCUCUCUAGAUUAUGUCCCAUUUUGCUGCUAGGAAAGAGUUCCACGUUUUGCUGCGUCCUAUCUAGAGUCGUCCGCACCUGUGGUUCUGAUUUGAGAUUUUCAUCCUCUUGGAUGCUCCCGACAAUGUUUCAAGCAAAAGUGUCUGUACUAAACAUAAUUCAUGAAAGAGGUAUGUUGUCUUUUACCAUAUAUCCACGUGGGUUGUCGCCUGAAAAAAGAAGUCAUCCUUUCGUGUACCUGUUUGGAAGGAAAUAACUUGCAAAACAAGACACAACAAACCUCUUGGUUGUUGCAUAAUUAUCUUAUUUGUUGGUUGAAUAUGUCUUUAAAGUAGGGUGGCCCUCUCGAACACCGAUAAUACUUUAUGCAGAAUGGUCCCUGCAAUCGUGUAAUCUUACGUUGAUGUAGAAACCCUUUUGGUCACUUAUAAUGAUGGUUGUAUGUGGAAUGAUAACCUCUCCGAUUUCAGACAACGAUUCCUUACAUAUGACAUCAGGUAAGUCUUGCGCAUCUUUUGUAUCUAUACGACUAAUAGAUUCUCCUUAAAUUAUCAAUCUUUACAUAAUCUCGUGCAUUAUUUGAUGUUGGAUACGAGGCAACUUAUAGAUAUCUUUUGAAUUGCUAGCUUCUAGGUGAUCCUGGACAUUAUCUGACCUUGGAUAAUAGAUGGCUUAUAGAUAUCCCUCCAAUCGCUAGCCCUCAGGUAUUCCUGUACAUCAUCCGACCUUGGAUACAAUAGACUUAUAGAUAUCUCUAAAAUUACUAGUCAUUGGGUAAACCUACACAUAAUCGAUCUUGGAUAUGAUGCAGCUUAUAGAGAACCCUUGGACGUAUCAAUUUGAUAAUCUUGCAUAUUCUCCAGUAAGGAUUUAGUUGUGACUUAUGGAUGACCUUUAAACUAUCGAUCUUAGGGUAACCUUGCACACUAUCCAUUUAGGAUGUCGUUGUAGCUUACGGAUGACCUAUGGACUAUCAACUAAUAGGAAAUCUUGCACACUAUCCUAUUUCAAAUAACAUGACUUAUAGAUGACCCUAGGAUUGUCAAUUUCUACGAAGUCUCAUAUGUCGUUAGCUUUCAGAUAGCGACUUAAAGACGUCCCUUUGAAUCAUAUAUUUUUGAUUCAUUCAGAUGUUGAUUCAUAAAAUAAUGAGAUAUCCUCGAUGCCAGCAUAUGCUAUCUCGCAUGUCAAUAGAUAUUAGAUACCGAUGAUAUCCUCGACGCCAGCGUACGCUAUCUCGCGUGUCAACAGAUAUUAACUAUUGGUGAUAUCCUCGACGCUAGUGUAUGCUAUCUCGCGUGUCAAUAGAUAUUAAAUUUUGAUGAUAUCCUCGACGCCAGCCUAUGCUAUCUCACGUGUCAACAGAUAUUAAAUAUUGAUGAUACCCUCGACGCCAGCAUAUACUAUCUCACGUGUCAACAGAUAUUAAAUGUUGUUGAUAUCCUCGAUGCCAGCGUAUGCUAUCUCGCGUGUCAAUGGAUAUUAAAUAUUACUGAUAUCUUUGACCAACGUAUGCUAUCUUGCGUGUCAUCAUAUAUUUAAUGCGGGUGAUAUCCUCGGCGCCAACGUAUUCUAUCUCGUGUGUCAUCAGAUAUUUAAUGCUGAUGAUAUAAUCGAUGUCGGCGUAUGCUAUCUCCGUGUCAUUAGAUAUUUAAUGUGGAUGAUAUCCUCGAUCCCAGCGUAUGCUAUCUCACGUGUCAUCAGAUAUUUAAUGGAGAUGAUAUCCUCAACGCCAGCGUAUACUAUCUCGUGUGUCAUCAGAUAUUUAAUGCGGAUAAUAUUGUCGACGCCAGUAUAUGCCAUCUUGUGUGUCAACAGAUAUUAAAUAUUUAUGAUAUCCUCGACGCCAGCGUAUGCUAUCUCACGUGUCAACAGAUAUAAAAUCUUGCUGAUAUCCUCGACGCCGGUGUAUGCUAUCUCAUGUGUCAAUAGAUAUUAAAUGCUGAUGAUAUCCUUGAUGCCAGCGUAUGCUAUCUCGCGUGUCAUCAGAUAUUAAAUGUUAUGGCCCUCUUGGCGAUGAAAAUGAUAUGCAAUGGACCUCUUGGCAAUGGAAUGAGAUGAAAUAGCCCUCUAGGUAAUGAAGAUGAUUUUGCCUGAAUCCGUUUGUCUACUUUUUUGCUUGAUAGAUGUACUUGUACUCAAGGUAGAUAGUUUGUAGACACAAUGUCGCUUUUGCUUGCGACUAUUUUUAGAACAAUUCUAAAUACAAUAUUUAUAAAGAAGAUAAGGCGUCUUUGUUUGUCCUUCAUGGUCUCAAGAAAUGAAAUAGACAAUUCAAAAGGUCUUUGAUAAAUGCGUAUUAACCCGUCUUUAGGGCUACCCGAAAAUACCAUUCUUGAGCAUUAUAUUUUCUGGUAUGGCUCCCAACUUACCCGGGGAUUUUUCAAAAAAGUCUCUCAUUUUUGUGUAUUGAUCCCUGCAUCCACAGAAAAAUAAUUAGUUUUGAGUGAAACUACUCCAUGUUGACCUCCUUCGCUCCUCAGUUUGAUCCUCACCAUCUUUCAGGUGCUCCAUCAUGUUGGUACCUCCACCCUGACUCCCUGUUCCAAUAGACGCUUAGGCAAUCACUAAGUAAAAGAUUUGUAUAGAUUUUUAAAAGUAGUCUUAAUUUUAGAAAAUAGUUUCGAAAGUUUCUGUAAAAGCUUUUAAAAAUAUCUGCCAGUCAUGUCAUGUACUGGCUCAAUGAACGUCUUUCUCUUAGUUUUGACUAUAUCCAAUGGAGGAUUUUCAAAAUUCAUCAUCAUUGUAGGAGGUUUCUUUAAACAGUUCUAUCAUAGUUGGAGAUUGAGUCUACCUAGACUUUGUCGCAGCUGGUGACUUCAAAAGUUUGACUUUGACCUCUGGUGCUGGGGAGUUUAAAAUAUAUUCCAGUGUUUGGUGGAAAUUUUGAGGCCUUCCUCAAAAUUUUCUCCCCCAUUUUAAAGCUUUUUGAUAUGAUAUCAACUCGAGAGGAUCUGAAGUCGUUGUUGGUCUUCGUUAUCUUUGUUAGAUGAUGAUCUUCCUCUUGUGAAUUUUUGAGAUUCCUUCUCGAAAAUUCUGCCCCAGUUUUCAUUUUCUGGGGUUACAUAACUGAGCCAUUGGGGCGCCUACGUAUCCUGUUGAAGCAGGAAUCAGGUCAAACGUAGUUUAGGACUACACUAAGGAUAUAUAGAAAAAUAUAAUAGGUUGAACGAAGCCGACAUAGGCCGAUUAUAUAUCCCUUUUUUGGGAAUUCAGGUCAUCACGUAGUUCAUACAUGAAAGAAAAGGGUAAAUUUUCCUAAAGGAUUGACCGAAGCCGACAUAGGCCGCCUACGUAUCCCUUUCUUGGGAAUUUAGGUCAAAUGUAGUUCGUACAUGAGGAAAGGGAUUCUAGGCAAUUACACAUCAUAAAACAAAUACUAUCAUAAAGACUAUUACAAAUAAGCCCGGGAAAUAAAAACUAAAACAUCUUUUAAACAUAGUAUCUCUUUACAGCAUCAGAAUUGAUUGGUUUGAUCUAAUCUUGACCAUCCAUCUCAGGUAGGAUUAGGGCUCCUCUAGGUUGGGCUUCUUUUGGUUUUCAAAUUCCUUAUAUCUUUCACUAACUUCUCCUCAUCACCUUUUUUUCGUUCAUUAUCAUUCUCUUCGCUUUGUUCGUCUAACCCUUUUCAUGACAUGACAUUGACAAAUUUUUAAAUUAUUGCUACCAAAAUAAACCAUGUUAGAUGAUGAAAAGAUAAUACUCCCUCCGUUUAAAAAGGAAUGACCUACUUUUCUUUUUAGUCUGUUUAAAAAAGAAUGACCCCUUUCCUUUUUUGGCAAUACUUUAAUUUCUACUUUUCACAUGGUAUAUUUAGGAUCACAAAAUUAAAGAAAAUUUUUAUACAUUUGACACAGCUUUAAUUUAAGGCUACAAGAUUCAAAAGUCUUCUUUAUUUUCUUAAACUUUGUGCCAAGUCAAAGUUGGUCAUUCUUUUUUAAACGGAGGGAGUAAAAGAUAAUGAUAUAAUCAUAUUUCAAAAUAACUUCUUAAAUAAAAGGAGGUCUUUUCAUUGAAAUUUAGGAAAUAAGUACGAACUAUGGCUCAUGACCCGCAUAAAUACGGCCCCAUGCCUUUUUGAAAGCAGCAAAACACGAAAAGGAAGUUUGAGACAUAAAAGGGUGGAUCACGGGGCCUCCUUCGGAUCAUCACCAAUUUUUUAUAACUACUAGUAAUUGCCUUUUCAUCUACCAUGACGGGCGACGGGUUAUGAGUAGAGUGGAGGUCCAGUUUUGUAAAGUCUCUCCUGGUGCAACCUUUCUCACCCCAUCAGACUUUGGUAAAUCAUUGUAUCCCUCAAAUGGAUUUCUUAUCCCAUCCCUAAGACCAUCAUCUUUUAACAUCUCACGCAAAGGAAAUGACUGGUACAUGAGUGGCAAUGGUUUAGACAGACUCGUCUUUGACUUAUCUUUAAUCUCAUCUUUCUUUCUUGGUUGGUAUCCUAAUCCAUACUUAGAUGUUUUUUUUGGGACCAUAAUGGGCUCAAUAAUUCCUUCUAAAUUCUCACCCAAGAUACUUUAGAUAGCCACAGCUUUCUCUAUCCUUUCUACUCCUUUUGUCUUUUUGGAAUUUUACGAAUCCACCUUAGUAAUAAUCUUGCUUGAUACCCAUUCAUCUGCUAUUUCGAUCAUGCUAAUCGUGGCUCCCCCAUUAUUAGGCAUUGGAUUACUAGUGACAUUUGGUGUCGGUGCCUGAAGAGUGAUGAUCUUCUAAUCAAUCAAGUCUUGGAUCUUGUGUUUUAAAUUGAUGCAAUUUUCAGUAUUAUGCCCGGUUGCUCCUGAAUGAUAAGCACAGACUUGAUCGGCCUGCAAGAAUUAGGAAUUGAUAUUAGUAGGCUUUGGUAGAAUAGGCUAUAAAUAACCAGCUUUCAUCAAUCUUUCAAAGAUUUUGGUACGACUUUCAGCCAAUAGAGUAAAUUUUCUAGGAGGCCUCUUUUCGAGGUUUACAUGUGGAGGGUUAUACUGAUUUUGAUUAGAGGGAUGAGGUACUUGAUAAUAGUUAAGAGGCGCUUGGUUGAUUAUUUGGUUGUUUGGAAGAGUGGCUUGAACAUGAGACUGAUAAUUUGGCUGCGGACCUUGGCACUAGGGUAAAAUAUUUAGAAGUGGAGUUUGAUACUGGGGUUGGGCAUAGAAUACAAGCUGAAAACUUGGUGACGGUGGUGAGGAAAGAAUAUUCGUAGGCUUGAAUUUCUUCUUCAACUUAGCAAUAGAAUCAGUAGAGACCGCACCUACAUCUUUCUUUUUCUUCUUUGGGAACAUAAAAGUCCCAGACGGUGUUGGGGUUUUGACAAACUUUCCUGUUCGAAUGCCUUCCUCUAGCGAUCCCCCGAUUUUUACUAAAUCUACAAAAAAUUCCUUAAUCGUGGAUACCAUCCUAGUGUAAAAUUCUCCCUCCUGAGCAUGAGAGAAAAUUGAUACCAUUUUCUCCUCAGACAUGGGAGGUUGUACUUUGGCAGCUUCCUUCCUCCAACAAAAAGCAUAGUCUCGAAAACACUCACCAUUCUUCUGCUUAAUCCGGUCUAGUGAGUAUCGGUGAGGAACUAUCUCAACGUUAAAUGCAAAUCUAUCGAGAAAACUUUUAGCCAACGCCUUCCAACUAGACCAUCUUUUCAGUUCUUGAUAUGUGAAUCACUAUAAGGCUUCGCCCUUAAGCUUCAGAUGAAUAAAUGCAUUAAUAAUGUCUCAUUUCUUCCUACCCUAAUCAUUUGAUCACAAUACUUUCUCAGAUGGGCCAUUGGAUUUUUGGUACCGUCGAACACCUUAAAUUUAGGAACCUUGUACCCUUCUGGUAGAUCUACUUCGGGGUGCACACACAGAUUAUCAUACCCCAAGGUAUCCUUAUUACCUGCCCUGUGAGAUUCCUUGAUCCUCAUGAUCUCUUCAUUCAUGGCUAGCAACUUUUUUUCAUGCUCGGUCCUCCACUUUAUUUCUUUUUUCUCGUAAUGGUCUACCUAGGGAUUGGGAAUGGGAUUGUAGAUGUCAGGGGAUACGAUGAAUUAAUAAGGAUUUAGAACGAUAGCUUGAUUUUGAGAAUGAAAGGAGGUUGGGUGGUAGGAAGGGAGGAAGUUUAGGAAAUUGAUAGCGUUUUGUGGAAUUUAAGAAGAGUUUAGUGGAAUCUGAGAUAGAGUGGAUUUAGAACCGAGUUUUGUAACUUUUGAGAUGGAUUUUAUUGAUUUGAGAGUGUAUUUUAUGGAUUUGGAGAUGAAUUUUGUGGGGUUAGGGAUGGAUUUCGGGGAUGGUGAGCAUCUAGGUUAUUUUAUCAUUUGGUGUUUUGGACAAGUUGAGGAACAGAGAUGGAUGAUAUAUUAUUUGGAGGGUCCUCGAGAACAGGUGUACUGAUGGGGGAUUUGGAGUGAAGUCCCAUGUCCUCCUGGAGUGGGAGCGUUGAAAGUGAUGUCCAAGCUAGCCAAAUCUCGAGUAUGAUUCAUCUCCUUCUAAAGCAUUUCUAAUUUUCCCGCAAGUUCAUCAAUCAUCUCGCUUUGUUUCGCUAUUACAUUGUCUCUGAUGAUCUACAUAUUCUCUUUGUCGCUUCCAGUCAUAUUUGAAUGAUGGUCAGAGGAUGGGAUUUUAUGAACUUUUGACCGGGUGAAGUAAUGAUGUUCUGCCAGUUUAUUUUAACACGGAGCAGUGUUUCAUUAUCUGUAAAGAAAAAUAACUCAAAGAAAGAUGUAUUAGUUCCCAUAUGUGAUAAAUAAUACAAGAUAUUUGACAAAAAGUAACCACAUAGAGUUAUUUUCCUCAUAGGCAAACUGAUCUACGAGAGCAUAGUGGAUAAAUUUGUCUUUGAUGCACAUAAACACAUAAGGCAGUUAUAUCACAUAAUAAACACAUAUCCUAGUUGGGUGACCCUUUUAAGCCAAGGGUUGGCCUAACGCAUUUGAAAGAAGUAUAUGCUUUUUAAACCAAUCCAUUAUCCCUCAAAAAUCUUCAUAGGUGUACAUAAGUGGCAUAAAUGCCUACAAAAGUUGCACAGAAAGGGAUACAAUCUAUAGGGAAAGGGGAAAAACAACAUGAGAAAAAGAAUAAUGUCCUGCGCAAGGGAUAGGAAAUAUUAAUUCCUGAAUUGGUAUAUGAUUGAGGCAUCCUUACAUGAAAGCAAGCAAAGCAGGCCUUCUUCUGACCCCCAAAGGAUAAUGGAUUAGAUUAAACAAACAUAUAUUUCUUCAACACAUAAAUAUGAUUCUUCAGUAAUUGACUCGGGGUCAAUAGACACAAGGCAAGUUUUAUAAUGGGCCCAUUACACCCUUCGAAUAUUGGUUCGUCGUAGACUUAUGCCUAAAAGAGUUUUGGUUUAGCUCUAUCCUGGGUGUCCAGAGUAUGGACACAGGUUUUCAAGCGGACAACUUGAGUUUGGAAACACGAAUGGCCUUUGACCGCCUAACAUGCCAAUAAACUGUCUUAUUUCCAAUAUUCAAUUUGGAGUUGAACAAUAGGGGAUAGGAUAUCCUCGUAAUGCCAAAAUAAUUUAAUAAUCAAUGCAGGACCAUGCUAUGAAAUGCAAUAAUUAGAUCCCACAAAAUCGAAACACAUAAAUAUGUAAGCAAUUUAAACAGUUUAGUCAAAAGAUGAGAUCAAACAUUUGGUUAGAACCUAGUUCAAAUCCCCAACAGAGUCGUCAUUUCUGUUUUGCGAAAAUUUUGACUUUUUAGAGUCGCCACUUAAUUUAUUUGAAAAGGAAUUAACAAAACCUUUAUAAAGUACUUAAACAAUCCAAAAAAGAAAAAUCAUUUAAAUUUGAAGAUUCUGAGUAAGCGAUUCCUAUUGAUACUCUUGAAAGGUUGUUAAGGCACCAUGAGUAUCCGCUAACUUGCGGUUAUUCGGAUUGUUUGAAAAUAUCUUUUUACUAACUUCAAAAAGAUUGAUUGUUGAAAAGUGAUUGAUUUUAGGAAAAGACUUGUAUAAAAUAGUUUUGAACGACUUAGUAGGGAUUUUAACUAAGUCUAAACAAACUAAUAACAAAGCAUGUAAAAGGAGAGAGAGAGAGAAAUAAAAUCCCAAAUCAAUAGACCCUGCCCUAAUUUAAUUGAGAUUUUGGCCCACUUUCACCUGUUCUAAUCUAAAUGUUGGGCCUUGGCCCGUAACCCGUCUUAAACUAAUUUUUCAGGCUUGUUGGCCCAAAAUCUGCUCCACCUGUAUUAAUUUAUAAUUUUGGCUUUGAGGCCCCGAAUAAAUGAAUAAGUAAAUGAUUAAAUGAAUAAACAAAAAGAAGACAAUAAUAAAAAUUAAGACUUUUCAAGUCUCUUAGUGACCUCAUCAAUGAAUUUUGACCCAUUUUCCUUCUUCGUCUAUCUUCUAGCACCCGCAUGCCAUAUAGUUGAUCGUGGGUUUAAUCUUCAAACUUGACUCGAAGAGGUGGGCCUCAUUGGCCCAUUAUGAAAUGCAAGAGGAGAGGAGUCCAUUUGGACUCGAGACAUUUUUUGCAUGCAAAGAAAAUAUAAAGAAAUUAAUAUACGUUCAAGGCAUAAAAGUGACAUAUUUCAAAGAAAAAGAAACUAUCAAGAACCAUUUUUUUGAAUGACAAUGAUAAGCACACUUACACAAGAAUGAGAGUCAACAAAUAAAAUGCAAAACAAAGACACCCACUUACAUGCCUCAUGAUUUAUGUUCAUAUAAUAAUGAAUAAAGGUAAAAGAAAGAAGACCAAAUUCAAUGAAUUAAUGCGAGAACAAACAACGCAAGUUUGCGAGAGUAAAGGGAUGAGGCGAUAAGAAAAAUACCCCUGACUUCUAAAAUUGAACAAACAUAGAAACUAAUUCAUAUAACAAAAGAAAAUAAAGGCUAACUUAUCAAGAAAGUGAAUCUUUAAAUUUCAAUUGAGGAGAAAUCAACGAAGAUUUAUACAUCUAAGUCAUGGCCAACUUUAGGGAAAACAUGUAAUGACCUAUGAUUUAUCGUUCUAAGACAUCGUUGAUUCUCUUUUGACAUUAUAACUCAAAGAGAGACAUGAAUCAAGUCUUUACACACAUAAAGAACAAGUAUAACAAUCCAAAGGGAGUAAAAAAUUUAGAAUAAAAGUUUAGCAUCUCUAAAAAUGAAAUAUCAUUCAACAAUCAUACUUUACAUGACUCGAGAAUAUCUAAAUAAUUCUAUUUAGCCAAAAAAUUCAAAAUUUCUCAUCAUUUUGACAAAUUAACAACAUGCGAAAAAAGAAAAAAAAGGAAUAAACAUCUUGGAUGGAAAGUAAAGCUAGUACUCAUCUCUUAUAUAAUGAUUUUAAAAUCCAUUAAAAUAAUUAGCAGACAAAUGACAAAUUCUUGACUUAAUCAAUUAUUAUUUUUAUUAAGGUGAAACAAACAAUACUAACUAUUUUUCCAACAUAAAAGAAACAACUUUACAUGCUAAUAACAACAUAUCUACUAAUAAUGAAUUUAAACAUGACAUGAAUACGUCUUUUGAGCAAAGAUCAAAACUUUAUACAUAACAAUCAAAGAAUAAAGUCAAAAGGUAAAACAAUCAAUAUUAACUAUUCUUUUCAACAUAAAGAAAAUAACUUUACAUGCUAAAAACAAAAAUAUCUACCAACAAUGAAUUUAAACAAGACAAUGGUAUGUUUUCAAGUAAAGAUCUAAACUUUAUCCAAAAUAAUCAAAGAAUAAGGUCAAAAGGCAAAACAACAAUAAUAACUAUUUUUUUCAACAUCAAGAAAAUAACUUUAGAUGCUAAAAACAAACAUAUAUACCAACAAUGAGUUUAAACAAAAUAUGAGUAUAUUUUUCAAGCAAAGAUCUAAAUUUUAUCCAAAAUAAUCAAAGAAUAAGGUCAAAAGGCAAAACAAUCAAUAUUAACUAUUUUUUUCAACAUAAAGAAAAUAACUUUACAUGCUAAAAAUAAACAUAUCCACUAACAAUGAGUUAAACAAAGCAUAAGUACAUCUUUUAAGCAAAAAUUGAAAUUUUAUGUAUAAUAAUCAAAGAAUAAAGUCCAAAGAGGCACGUACAACUAUUGCUAGCUCAUUUUUAUAUCAUGAACAUGAAAAUAAUUAAAAUAUCGAUACAACAAUGUCAUAUUGCCUUCAAGGCCAUCUACAGCAGACAAUCCCAGCAAACAAAAUUAUAACUACGAACUACGAAGAAGAAAAAGAUGAAGAAGAAAACCAUAAUAAAACUAAGAAAAAAAAAGGAAAGUUGUGUUUACUUUUUUGGGGGCAGCAAAAUCAGACUACAAGCUUCGUCGAAAUAACGACCACGAAAAAUUCGCCGGCAACUCAAAAAUUUUGAUUAGUCGACCAACUCUAUAAAACAAAAAUUUUUACUAAAUAAAAAUAAAUAUUUUGCUCAAAAGUAUUUUUUUCUACCUUUCUAGCCUCUUUUUUUGUACUUUUCUACCACCCUUUCUACCAUAGUAGUGGUAGUAUUUAUAGGAGAGAAUGAGGUUUUAUUUUCUUUUCUCCACCAAUGUGGGAGAAAAAUAUUUAUAGGAAAGGAUGAGAAUUUAUUUCUUGUCAUCCACCAAUGUGGGAGAAAAGUCAUUUAUUUCUUAAACCUUGUUCCUACAUGACCUGAUCAAUUCGAUCAGGCACUCGCCAUCUAUUUUCAUUGUUCAAAUCUUUGACAACAUGAAAAAACCAAACGCUCUACCCCCCUCUCUAUCUAUCCAAGGGAUGGAAGGGCAGAGGCCUUUGGUGUCCCCUCCAGUCAAGAAUUGGGGCCUCACAAUCACUAGCCAAUAUGCUUUUCUCUCAUGCCUUUCUUAGUUCAUGGUUCGAUAUCUGGUGUCCUAGGCGUAGAGGAACCACACCAAUCCAUCCCGAACUUGGUGGUUAAACUCUACUGCAGUGAUGAUACUGUAGGGGAGGUCCUACGGAUGUUUAUGGAAUUCAAAAAUUAAAGAUAAGGUGAGGUGAAAAAUAAUGUGGAGGAAAAUUCUACAAUGUAGUACAAUUUUUGAAUUUCAAAAUUGGGAAAGGACAAAGUUGGGGGGAAAUAGUACAAUGUAGUACAAUUUAAAAUUAUUUUUUUGGUGGAAGUUGGUAGAACUUAUGAGAAUUUUUGGGAAUUUUGGGGUUGUUUAAAAUAUAACCCCAAUUGAAAAUUUUAAUUUAGCCAUAUUCAUUUAAUUUUGACCAAAUUAAAAAUUAAUUGACGGAUUGCAUUGCAAUUAUGGCCAAUUUGAUUUCAACUAUGGUCAAAUCUAUUAGAUUGACUAAAUUAAAUUAAAAUUCGAUAUGAAUUAAUAGUUCUUUUAAUCUUGAGCUUCUUGAUUUAAUAAAAUCAAACACAUAUUUAUCCGAAUAAAUUAUUUUUUAGAAUAAAUUAUAUUUAAAUCAAGAUUUUAAUCCUUUAAAUUUAUUUCAAGACAAACCUUGAUUAAAAUAUGGUAUUUUAUAAAAAUAGAUAUUUAAGUAGCAAAAUUAUGUAAUUUCGUAUAAUUGAAUACGAUAAUAUAUAAUUGCUACUUAAAAUAACAAACUUACCCAGAUAAAUAUUUAAAAAAAAAAAUUAUUCGGAUAAAAUAAAUGUUGUAAUUUUAUUAAAAAAAUCGAAGAAACUUGGAAUUAAACUUAGUUAUGGAGGACAAAAAUUAGGUGUCAACAGUGAUAGGCUUACUUUUCAAGGUUCGCCGCGACAAGUGCCAUCACGACCCUUGUUUUUUAUGAGUCGUGACAAAUUUGUAUUAGGGCAGCCAGGUUUCAUUGGUCUCAAUGGUGUAAGAUGUCUAAUAGAGUCUCAUGGAUUGAUACGUAGACGGCUGUAUCUAUCUUUGAGAGGCUAUAGGAUGUCUUUAUAAAACUUACCUUAUUUUUAUUUCUCAUCAUGCGAAGUUCUUUCAUAUCUUAUGUUCUGAGUUAUGUUUCACUCUUUUUGCACAGAUGGUGUUGACUAGGUCCUACGAGAGUAGUGAUGCAGGGCCUUCACCCAGAGGGCGAGCCUCAAGUCGUGGACAGACUCAAGGAAGAGAACGGCCCCGUGGUGCAGCCCCAUCUAGGAAAAGUGCUAGGGGACUCUUCCCUGGGCCUCGUAUUGAGUAGGUCGGAGGUGUGGGUCCUACUCCAAUUUUUCAUAAUUUGUCUUCCCCAGUGUUGGAGGGAUGGUUGGUAAGUUUGUUGACCCUUUUAGAGAGUUCUUCCUUGGUUAUGUUGGGUAUUCCUCCAGUUCGGAGUGUGGAUCCUCUUGUUGCACUUGCUUCUGGUUUGGGUACUCCUUAGACCCCGAGUCCUAUUCCACCUUCUGUACUGAUAUCUGACUAUGGGGUUUCGAGAUCAGAAAUCCAACCGUCAUCUUUGCUACUACUCCAUAUGGGAUCACAGCCUGCUAUAUUUAUUAUGUCUUCUCUCAUGGCUAGAGCAGAGAUGUCUUCUAAGGAUCAAAAGAGGUUUGAGAGGUUUUCUCGAUUGGGUCCUCCCAAAUUUGGUGGCACAGUGGGCAAGGAUGCCUUUGAGUUUUUGAUUGAUUGCUGAGAAAAGUUGCACAAUUUGGGUUUACUCAAGUUUCAUAGAGUUACUUAGACCUCUUAUCAGUUGAGAGAUGCAGAGAAAAAUUAGUGGGGGUCGCUUGUCAGUUUUAGACCCCGUGAUUCUCCCAAGAUGACUUUGGAUUAGGUCACUGAGGAUUUCCUAGAUAGAUUUUUGCCUUUCAAUUUAGAGAUUGUAUGCGGGACGAGUUUGAUCAUUUGAAAAAGGGAUCCUUGAUAGUUGUUGAGUAUGAGGCAUAUUUCUAUGCCUUAUCCAAAUAUUUCUAUGAUAGCAUUUUCACCGAGUCUAAGAAGAUUCAAAAAGUUUGUGAAGGUUUUGGAUGUCUCCCUUCAGUUGGUUACUCUUAGGUAGCUAUGUUUAGGGAUUCUUUCAGAGUAUUAUAGAUCAUCCUAAGAUAACAGAGGAUAUUAUUAGUGCAUCUCAGGGAGGCACCAAAGAGGCACGAUAUUUUGGUGAGUUUAGGAAUCAGACCUCUCGAGGCAGAGAUUUAGAGAUUUUUAUGGAUACCAUGGUAGGCCAGUCCAGGCGCCUUUAUAAAGCUCAAGUGGUGGACCUUUUAGUUAAGCAGUUAAGGGUGGUCGUUCGAGCUCAGUUGUAUUUUUUUUAUUGAGACUGGUCAUAGAAGUUUCUAUGUGUGUGAUGAGAUUUGCAAUGUGGACACGGAUUUUCCCCUCCGAGUAGUUUGGGCUAUUCCAACUGUGAGGGGCAGGAGUGCUACCAAAGGUGCAAGGGGCAUACGUAGUGGAGCUCGAAGGAGUGUUUAUGGAGACACUAAGGUAGUUGGUGGUCGUGGGGUCACCGCGGUAGUCGAAGUUACUGUUAUGUUAUACCAGCCAGGCCUGAGGAAGAGGCUUCUUAUGCUAUGAUUAUAGGUAUCAUCCUCGUGUGUUUCAGACUUGCAUCUGUAUUAUUUGAUCCUGAAUUGACUUUUUUCUAUGUGUCUGUGUAUUUUUCUUUGAUUUUUGAUUCUGUAAGUAAGCCUCUUACUAUGCUUAUUCGUGUAUCAAUCCCGGUAGGUGUUUCUUUAGUAGUGGAUCGAACGCAUCGAUCUAUGUUGUGACUUUUGUAGGGCGUGAGACUUUGGUAGAUCUUCUUGUAUUAGAUAUGGUUGAAUGUUAUUUUGGGUAUGGAUUGGUUGGCUCCCUAUCAGGCCAUCCUAUAUUGUUAUGCCAAGACCAUGACUUUAGCUUCGCCGAUUAUUCCAAGGAUAGCUUGGAAAGGUGCACUUCAUUCGGGUUCUAGGAGUAUUAUAUCUUAUGUUCACGCUCAUAAAUUAGUUGAGAGGGGAUUUUUAUCUUACUCGGCCCAUAUUUGUGACACCAGUGUUGUUUUGCCUCCUUCCUUAGAUUCUAUUUGUAUUGUUCGUAAGUUUAGGGAUGUGUUCCCUACGGACUUAUCAGGUAUGCCUCCAGAUCGAGAUAUUGAUUUCACUAUUGAUGUUGAGCCAGGCACCAAGCCCAUCUCUAUUUCUCCUUAUAUAAUGGCCCCCAGCAGAGUUAAAGGAAUUGAAGGAUCAAUUACAUGAGUUUUUGGAUAAAUGAUUUAUCCGACCUAGUGUUUCGUCUUAGGGUGCGCCAUUCUUGUUUGUGAAAAAAAGAAAGGUCCUAUGUAGAUUUGUAUUGAUUAUCAACAAAUGAAUAAGGUGACGGUUAAGAAUAAGUAUCCUUUUCCUCGCAUUGAUGAUUUAUUUGAUCAGUUUCAGGGUGUAGCAGUGUUUUUAAAGAUCGAUUUGAGGUUCGGUUAUCACUAAUUAAGGAUUAGAGCUUCUGAUAUUCUGAAGAUAGCUUUUCAAACUCGAUAUGGCCAUUAUGAGUUUUUGGUUAUGUCCUUUGGAUUGACCAAUUCCCCUGUUGCAUUUAUGGAGUUGAUGACCCUAGUGUUUUGACCAUAUCUCGACUCUUUUGUUAUUGUGUUUAUAAAUGAUAUCUUAGUUUAUUCCAAGAGUGAGGUUGAGCAUGAGGAGUAUUUGCAGAUUUUUCUUCAGAGAUUGAGGGAUGAGAAGUUGUAUGUUAAGUUCUCUAAGAGCGAGUUUUCGUUGGAGUUUGUGUCUUUCUUAGGUCAUAUGGUGACUAAGAAAGGUAUUAUGAUUGAUCCAACCAAGGUUGCAGUAGUCACGAUUGGGCUAGACCUACUUCCUCCACCGAGAUUCAGAGUUUUAAUGGCUUGGCUAGGUAUUAUCGGCGUUUUAUUGAGGGUUUCACUUUUAUUGUAGCUCCCUUGACUAAGUUGACUCAAAAGAAGAUUUUUUUUUGUGGUUUGAUAUUUGUGAAAUAAACUUCGACUAGCAUGGUAGCUUGGCACAUCUUUUGACCCAAGAAAGGCCUUUGGACUUAAUGGUUCAAUCUUUAGCUAACCAGAUGGUUAGGCUUGAUAUUUCGACAACGGGGCAUGUUUUGGCAUUUGUGGAUGCUAGAUUUUCUUUGAUGAAGCAGAUUCGAGCUCAUCAGUUUGAUGAUAUUGGAUUGAGGUCGAUUUGAGAUAAGGUAUUGAGUGGGAGUCUAAGGAAGCCUCACUUGAUUCAGAUGGAAUUUUGUGGAAUGGAGGCCAAGUUUGUAUGACGAGAGUGUGUGACUAGAUUAAGUUGAUCUUGGAGGAGGCCCAUUGUUCCAGAUAUUCCAUCCAUCAAAGUAUGACUAAGAUGUAUUGUGAUUUAAGAAACCACUACUGGUGGGGUGGUAUGAGGUGAAAUAUAGAAGAUUUUGUGGCUCUUUGCCUAUGUUGUUAGCAGAUGGAGGCUAAGCAUAUGAGAUAUGGUGGUUUGCUUCAAAGGUUACCCAUUCCUGAGUGAAAGUAGGAACGCAUAACCUUGGACUUUGUGACUGGUUUGCCUCGUACUUCUCAUAGUUCUGACAAUGUUUGGUUCAUCGUGGAUCGAUUGACCAAGUCAGCUUAUUUUAUUCUGGUUUAGGUCUCAUUCAGUGCUGAUAGGUUAGCCCAUAUCUACAUUUAUGAUAUUGUGUGUCUUCAUGGUGUGUCAGUGUCCAUUAUUUCAGAUCAAGGUCUUAUAUUCACAUCUCACUUUUGGAAGACUUUUCAGGAUGAGUUGGGUACUUGAUUGAUCUUAGCACAGGGUUUCACCCCUAGAUUGAUUGCUAGUCAGAGCAAAUUAUUCAGGUUUUGGAGGAUAUGCUUCGUACAUGCGUGAUAGAUUUUGGUGGAUAGUGGGAGCAUGAUGGAUUAUUGCACUUUAUUUUGGUAUUGGAUUUUAUGGACUGCAUUGAUUGAAUUAGAUUUGCACUUGAUCUCGUGUCGACUUUUAAAAGUUAGAGUUUAGAAGUCCCUUGACAUUUUUUUCUUUUGCGAGUGAUGAUUGUCCGAGUGUCACCUUUCUUGCUAUUAGAGUAGCCUUUUGACGUGGACUUGCCUAUUAUUUUCUUUAAGGUUGGAACCUCAAUUGGGUCAAAGCUCUCACAUUGUAGCAUGACGAUUCCUUUAACUUUUGGUGACGACACAAAGCACAUGGGUUAUAGAGCUUUUGAAACUGAACCUUUUUUAUGAUCCAAUUUGGCGUUAACAUAAUUUGCAUCAACUAUAUUUUCAUUAUCAAUGAUGAUUUUCUCCCCCGCGUUAGUGUCGUGAUCUUUUUCUUUAAGAUGAAGUAUUUUUUGGUGUGAUGACUAACAAUACAGUGAAAUUUGCAGUACUUAGCAUUGUCGACUUUGUUAAAUUCUACAGGUCACUUUGACUUAGGGAGUUCAAUGACUUCUUUGGCUAGCAACUCAUCAAAAAUCUCAGAAAUAUCAGGGUCGGAAAAAGGAUAUACCUUUGCUUGUAACUCCUUCAAAGUUGGUCAAUUUUUCACUCCUCGUAAUUGUUGCUUUGGAGAUUUCUUAUUCAAUUUUUGUCUUAUGGAGGCCAUCAUAGAACUCAAAAUUAUUGUCGUAGAUUCCCAAAUUUGGUUUUUUGAUGAGUCCUUGAAUCUUAUGACUUCUUUUCUGGGAUCAAAGACAGGUGACCGCUUUCAUGACUUGCAAUGCUUAACUCCAUGUCAUGAGCACACAUAGCAAAUUCUUCAAAAGUUCAAGGCUUAGAUCCUUGAAGGAUAUAGACAAGGCCCCAAUCCAUUCCUUUGUGAUCCUUGCAAUUAAACUCAAUGUUCGCCAGCGAUUGAUGUAGUCUACUACAGGCUUAUCUUUACUUUGUCUUGUGUUUGUCAACUCCGUCAUGCUAAUCAUAUGACGGGUGCUGUAGAGAUGAUUUAAGAACUUACUUUCUAGUUGCUCCUAAUAAUCAAUUGAUUCAGAUUCCAAAUUUAUGUACCAAUGAAAGCCGUUGCCUUUCAAAAAGCAAACAAAUUGCUUGAUAAGAUCACUAUGUGUACCACACUACUACAAGUCCUAACGAAAUGAGCGAUGUUUUUCCUUGGAUUUUCAUUUCCAUCAAAUUGUUAAAACUUUGGUGGUUGAUAUUCAACUGAUAUCGGUAAGUCCUUGAUUCGCUUAGAAUAUGGCUUUGAGUAUCCUAUAAAACUUUAUGAUGGACUGCUAUAUUGCAUCUAGAUGGUGUUUGCAAUCAUAUCUUGCCGUUGUUGAACUAUUAAAGUAUCCAUUGAAGCAGAUCGAUUAGUGCAUUGAUUGUCAAUUGACUUGAUGAGAGAUUCACCAUAAAUUUUUUCCUUGAAGUGUUAGAUUAUAACUUGACUCUGCAGGGUUGUAGAGAUCUAACUUGCCCAUAAGUUGGGUGAUUUGAAGAUCUUUCUCAUUCACAGGCUUCUUCAAGGCUUUAAUGGUAUGUUCCAUCAUUGCCAACUGCAUCAACCAUGAAGGUAUUGACUUUCAUUAAAUUUAGAGAAUUCAUUGAGUCCUCAGAUUCUUCAAAGUUGAAAAUAGUUUCAGACAAGUCGUUUGAUAACAUAGGUGCAAGAUUGACUCCGGGGGUUGUAGUUACAACCGAAAUUUAAGAUUUUCUCCUUUUUGUUAUCUCUAAAAAGGUCAAGUUUUGAGAUCUAUCCAAAGCACAAGCGUUGAGCUUGCAUCGAUUAAUGGGGCCAGCAAGUUUGAUCUCUGUAGAUGUGACAGUAAUAGAUUUCUUGCACAAAACGUCAUUGAUUUUUUUGAAUCCUAUUGCGGCAGUUGAGUUUGUGAUUUUCCAAUUCACGUAAGGAAGAGAUAAAGAGCAGAGAUGGUCCCACCAGGCACACUAAAAUUUAUUCGCAAUAAAUUUUUGUGGUGCUGAAAAUUAACUCCAAGAAAAAAUAAAUAAAAUCAAAAUAAUUUAUUAAAUAAAUUUUGUGAGUACAAUUCUAUUGUUCUCUUGAUUCUUCCCUCCUUAGCUUUUUUGUGAUUCGAGGGUCUUACGUAACGUGUUUCUCGAAUAUAGGAUGAUUCAGACUUCCUUGAGAUGUGUUUGAUCUCCAGAGACGUCGUGCAACACUUCUUUGUUUUAGGUUGAUCUUGGGAAGAACUCUGUUGACUAUUCCUUUGAAGAGUUGUGCAAUUGAUGUUGCGACUUGCUCCAACGCUGGCAGCAUAACCUCAGAAAAAUUAUGUAACCCUCUUAUUUAUAGUUGUAAGGGGUAGACAAUUUAAUUGUAAAUAACCUCUUCUUCCUCAUUUUGAUUGGUCCAUCAAGUUAUCAAGCUUAUCACAAAUGGUGUGUGAUAAGGUUGCUUGUGAUUGGCCAAAAAUAUGUUAUUUGGUAUACUUGAUGAUGAUUCAUUGGUUGUUGAACUUGACUUGGCUUGCCACGCCAUUUAAAUAUUUGGUCUUGGCUUGUUGGUCUUUAAUUUGACUAGGAUGCUACGUCACUUGACUCGUGGUAUGAGUUUGGAUUUCAAGAUGGACCUUGAAUUUAAUUUAAUGAACUUAUUAACUUUGUACAGCUCAAACUAAUUUCAACCCAAACAAAUAUGAAUUCAAUCCAAAUUUUCUAUGAAUUUGAUCCAACAAAUUUUAUCUGUCUACAAGUACAUGCUACAAUUUAUUUAUUUAUAUUUAUUUAUAUUUAUAAUUAUAUUUAUAUUUAUAAUAUAUAAAAAAGGCCUAAAGCAGGCAGGAAGAGGUUGUCCUGCUAGUUUGCUUCCUCAGGGUUACAUUGGUCACUUCAAUUAGGGAUAUUAUAGACUUUUCAUAGUAUUUUUCUGUAUUGCAACUUGCAUGCCUUUCAAGCAUUCAUCCUAAAUCUUAACGUGACAAACACACACGAGAAUAUUUUUGUGUGUUUUCCAGCUCAUCUUCACAUAUCUAUCUCAAAGUUUGGGUAAAGCGAUUUACUCUUUGAAGGUUGUAAUUUUGAACAUUUGUGUGAGUUCUCUUUAAUAAUUGCUCUAUUAUACAAUUCCAUUGAUUAAUUUGGAGUUCUCUUCAUCUGUUUGAUAUUGUGUCUGCCUUCGAUUUUGUUAUUCAUAGUUUCUUCUUGCUGCAAUUUAUUUUUUUUGUUAUCUAGACAAUGAUGUUUCCUACUUCAAUGUGAAUUUCUCUUUGAUUAUUUAUCCAUUCUUUUACAGGCUUUAUCAAUUUCGUAGUUAUGUGUUCUAUUUGGUGAUAUCUCUACUUUUAGGUCUAAUGGUUUCAGAGAUGAACUUUAUUUCUUUGUGCGAUUAUGGCUUUAAAUUUGCUUUUUCAUUGAAAUUUUUUAUCGUAAACUUGAAUGAUGGUACUUAAAUUUUGUUUCUUUUCGGUGUGAUUUAGAGGACAUGAUUUUAUAGAUUUAUUUUGCAAAUUUGCUUGCUCUCUAUUUAUUUUAAUUUGUUUUCAUCCUACUUCUCCUCUGUUUACUGAUGACACCAUAGCAAUUACUGAAAGAUCCUAAACCUGGAAAGAGUUUCUAUUUUAGUCAUCGUGCAUUCAAGGUAAACUAUUUUUGGGGCGUGGAUAAAAAACCACGUCGACUACACCUUAUCCUUGGGUGUUGAUACUCAAGAUGUUUAGAAACCUACUACUGCAAAGGAUAAAGUUAUAAAUUACUAUGCAUUUGUUGUUACUCAUGAACUCAAGAUCUUUUGUGCUCUAUCAAAUACUUCCAGACUGAAGCCAAAUAAUGGAAUACCAAUGUCUUUGGUAAUAUCUUCCAUAAGCUUAAAAGACUCCUAGCCCGACUUAAUGACAUUCAUAAAUCCAAACACUGCCCUUAUAGAAAUUUUCUCCAUAACUUGGAAAAUGAGGUGCUAGAGAAGUACAACCUCACUCUUUAGUAUAAGCAGGAUUUCUGAAAAAAAACAAAUCCAAAAUCAACUGGCUCAGUGAGUGUAAUGCAAAAACUAAAUUUUUCCAUACAGCCACCCUCAACAAAAGGAGAAAAAACUAAAUCCUCUCCCUAAAAGAUGUUACUAGAAACCUCAUACAGGGAGAGGAAGAAAUUAUCAAUCACAUAGCCAACUUCCUUAACACUCUCUAUACCACUGAACACAGUAACUCCAAGUGGUACAAAACCCCAGUCUAGAAAUAACAUCACUUCCCUCUUUAAGGAGACUAAGAGCUUGUUGGCAACCCCCUAAGAGAUAGUAAAAUUACCAAAGCUCUUAGUAUUUUCCAUCCCAUGAAAGCCCCUGGACCAAAUGGGCUCCACCCUUUAUUCUUCAAAAAAUUAUUGGAAUUUUGUGGGUAAGAAGACCAUAAAAUAUUUUCACAAAGUCUCUAAAGACAAUUGCAUUCCUAAGGAGGCCAACACCACAUUUCUCUGUCUCAUUCCUAAAUGCCAUAAUGCCACAUCAAUUAGGAAUUUCAGACCUAUUAGGCUCUGUAACUUCUCCGACAAGCUCAUUACUAAAAUCAUACUCAGUAGGAUCGAACCUUACCUAGACCUUCUCAUUGGACCUAAUCAAGCUAGCUGCUUAGCCAACUAGAGGGCUGCAGACAAUGUAUCAGUUACUUUAGGAAAAUGAGAGGGAAGAAGGCCAACAUGAUCUUGAAAAUAGAUCUAGAAAAAUCCUUUCAUAGGCUUGAAUGGUCCUUCAUCCAUGCACCCUUCUCUACUUCAAUUUCCCCAAGAACCUCACUAACCUCAUCAUGUCAUGUGUGACCACUUCCUUUAUUUCCAUCCUCAUUAAUGGCAAACCAUCCCCCUUUUUUGAACCCACCAGAGGCAUAAAAUAGAGAGACCCCAUUUCACUUUACCUUUUCAUCCUGUAUAUGGAAAGACUCUCCAGGAUCAUCAAUGAAACUGUACUCUAAAAGACUUGGGACCCCAUCAAAAUCACUACCAGUGGGCCCAAAAUUUCUCACCUCUUGUUUGCUGAUGACCUCACCCUUUUUGCCCAAGCUGACCUCAAAAACUGCAGAACCAUCAUCUAGCCCCUUAAUUACAUUAGUAAUAUCUCAGGAUAAAGAAUCAACUAUGCUAAGUCUAAAGUCAUCUUCUCUAAAAAUUACAGCAACAGUCUAGCCCAUGAAUGCUCCAUCAUCCUCAACAUCAAGAGAGGAGAUACCUUUAAAAACUAUCUUGGCUUUUCCAUCCUGAAUCACAAGCCCAUCCGUGCUUUCUUCCAGUACAUCAUUAACAACAUGAAUAAUAAACUAGUAUGCUGGAAAACCCACAUGCUUAACAUGACAGACAAAACUAUUCUUGCUAAAUCCACCUUGAGCAGUAUGCCCAUUAAUGUCAUGCAAUACCUUAAGCUUCCCCCAAAAACUAUUGAGAUUAUUGAUAGAAUUCAAAGGAACUUCGUGGGGAAGUAAUGCUGGAAAAAAGAAACUUCACCUUGUAAGCUAGGACAUCAUUGCAAGAAGCAAAUUCGAAGGGGGUCUAGGACUUGAAGACUCUUCAAAAACCCAAACUCUCUUUGGGUAAAAGUCUUAAUUUCUAAAUACCAAAAACAAAGAAGAAACAGUAAUGGUAGGACUUGGGUCUUUAGAAAUUGGAAAAUUAUCAGGAUGGAAAGAUUGUGGUAGGGGGAUGGCUUGGUCCAUCCACAAGGGUAACAAAGACAAAUUCUUCUAUAACUCAUUGAUACCUCAUACCAACCCUAUUAGGCACCACAUCUAUAGCCCUCUAAGAUUGAGGGAAGAAAACAUCAAAGUUGAAUAGAUCACCACGGAAUAUGGGAUUUGUCAAAACUAUCCAUCCAGAUACUUGGAAACAUUGUGAAAUCAUUCUUCACUCUAAACCCUUCCCUUGAGCACCAGAGAUGAUCAUCCAUACUAGAAACUAAUCAGUGAUGAAAAAUUCACUAGUAGUAUCUAUGAUGCCAUUGCUCAAUUUAUGAAUACCUCUCUCAACAUUGAUCUAAGAGUCUUCAAUGAAAUAUGGAAAGCUAACACACCCAAUAAGAUUAAGACUUUCCUUUGAAUUUUCACCUAUGGAAGAAUCCUCACCAAUGCUUACCUCAGUCAAAUAGGGUUGUACAUAGACCCCGAAUGCUCUUACUGCAACCUGGACACCACAACCUCUAAGCAUAUUUUCUUCCAAUGUCCCAAUGCUUUUGACUUCUAGAGAAAACUGCAAGAAACUGGGGUAAUCCCUAUAAUGACUACCCUUCACACCUUGGACAAUGUUAAUUGGGUAGUGUUGAUACCCAAUUUUAUCUCUCCAAACAUAAAAUUAACGCAUUCAGGCUCCCUGAUCAUUAAAUGACAUAAAAUGCAAUUUGUCGUAUAUUUUUUACAAUUGUUAAUAAAUUAUUAUUCCCUUCGUUUAAAAAAGAAUGACCUACUUUUCUUUUUAGUCUGUUUAAAAAAAGAAUGAUCCCUUUCUUUUUUUGGCAAUACUUUAAUUUCAAUUUUCCACAUAGCAUGUUUAGGACCACAAGAUUAAAGGGCAUUUUGGUACAUUUGACACAACUUUAAUUUAAGGCCACAAGAUUAAAAAGUCUUCUUCAUUUUCUUAAACUUUGUGUCAAGUCAAAGUUGAUCAUUCUUUUUUAAACGAGGGAGUAAUAAUCAUCAUUAUUUUAAAAUUUUUAUCAAUUUAUUGUCAUAUUUUAACUUUGCAUAAUUUAUUGAUAAUUAUUCUUAAUUUCAUAAAUUUUAAAAUUUUUGUCAGUUUAUUAUCAUUUUAAUUUCUUGUACAGUCAUUUGCAUGCGUAUAUAGCAUAGCACUGCAAUUUUUUUACCGUACAUUAUAAUUUUAAUUGUUUAUAGUAUAAUAUAUUUUUUUGGAUAAUUUUAUUAUAUUUGUUAUUUACAUUUUUCUGUAAUUAUAUAUCGACAUUCAUAUUUUUAUACGUUAUUUAAUAUAGUCUGCAAACGAUAAUUUCGACUUAAUUAUUUUGAUACAUGGAGCAACAAAUCAGUCAAAUCAAAAUCUGAUCACUUUUUAAAAAGUGACAUUUGAGAUGAUAGGUUAAUGCUUUCAUUCGUUGAAUAAAUAAUCUUUACACAUUGGUUAAAAGGGUGUAAGACCCAUGGGAUAAUAUGUAGUAACUUAAAUCAUUUACUCUCUUCGUUUAAAAAUGAUGACCUACUUUGAUUUGACACAAAGUUUAAGAAAAUAAAAUUUUUUUUUUGAAUCUUGUGGCCUUAAAUUAAAGUUGUGUCAAAUACACCAAAAUAUCCUUUAAUCUUAUGGUCCUAAAUAUAUCAUGUGAAAAGUUGAAAUUAAAGUAUUACAAAAAAAAAGAGAUCAUUCUUUCUAAAAUGGAUUAAAAAUAAAAUAAGUCAUUCUUUUUUAAAUGGAGAGAGUAUUAAAGAGACAAGAAGAGGUAGUUUAUUAUUUUUUUUGGAUAAAAAAAUGAAUUCCUCCUUAUUAUAAAUAAUAAUAAGAGGGUAAUUAUUUUUAACCUCACAGUGCAUACACAAACGCACAUGCACACAGACACACAUACCUCCCCAUUCUCUCUCUCACCAUCUCCGACAGCCUGACAGGCGGAGCACCACCAGUCGCUGCCCCUCUCUCUCCUCUUCCCUCUCUCCUUCUCCUUCACUGUCGCCAACAAAAUCGACCGGAGCCGUUACCGCACCCAAUCCCCCGUUUUCUCUCUCCGCUUCAGCACCACCAGCUGCCACCACCGCCUCAACAUCCACCAGAGGAGCAUCCAACCAGACAAGCCAGCAGCCCAUUCCACCCGUGUUUCCACCACUGUCGUUGGAGCUUCCACGGGUCUCACUGCCAUCGCCACCCUUUCCCUCUUUGCCCUCAUCGUUGACCAGCCUACUAUCACUACUGUAUUUUCUCCCUUUACCUGCAUUUUUUAAUAAAAACUAUUCUUUGCAGAUCUGUUUGGCUUUCGUAUUUUUUGGUGUUGCUUCGGUGAAAUCCGUGGAAGCAGCGCCUCCCUUUUUCCAUUGUUGCAACCAGAUCUGACCGGGAAAUAUUUUUCUUUGUUGAAAUCUGUUUGUUAGCUUGUAUACUCUUGUAUCGUUAGUUUGUUCUAUCUGGAUAUUGUUACUGUGUUAACGGACUAAGUUUGUUAAUUUUUUUUUUUGUCUUUUGUUCGAAGAUAAAUCAGCUCGGAACUUACAUUCUUUUUGACAAAUUUUGGAUUAUUUUGAUAAAACUGUGAUGACCUCUGCCACUCGACUGCUUUCUUUCAUAAUUUUAUCACUUUUGCUUUAUGCUAUUAUCUUUCUCUGUCUCUUUAUUAUUAUUAUUAUUAUUAUUAUUAUUAUUAUUAUUUGUGGACUGAUUUAGUAUUGUUUAAAUUUAAAUUUUUUUCCAUUGACUUGCUAUUAUUUUACUUGAUUAUAUGAUCACUUAAAUAUGUGUUCUUGAUUCAUUUGAUAUUGAUGCGUAUUUUAAAUGACACGUGUAAUCUGUCUUUUUCUGUUUAUUUUUCAAUGAUUUUAGGUAG